AAAAAAAAAAAAAAAUCUCCAAGAAAGUGGAAAACAAGAGAGGAGGGAAAUUAAAAAAGAAAAUAGAACACACACACAAAAAAAAAAUAUAAUAAUUGACGAGUGAAAGAGAAAUCAAAGGAAACAGAGAAGCGGAGAGAGGAAAAAGGAGGAGCUUUUUCUCUCAUCCCCCCAUGAAAAAAGAAAAAAAAAGAAAGAAGAAAUUAAUAUUUUUUUCCAAAAAAAAAAGGUAAAAUGACCGAAAAUACCCUUUAGGGAAAAUAUGCGUGCAGGAGACAAGUGGCAUCCUAAGUCGUAAAAUAAGGACACGUGGUCCGUCCUGAGAGAAAAGAAAGAAAAAAAAACAGGGGUUUUGUCCUUUAGGCGUGGUGCCUAUCAACAAAAUAAAAAUAAUUUCGAAUUGAAGACACGUGUCGUAAAUGUAGCGAUUAAUGAGAAAUUGCCACGUAUGGGUCAAAUGUAAAGGUAUUGGGUAAUGGACACGUGGGGUGAUGGAUUUGGGGAAAGGAAGCGGUGUUUGGUUUAUCCUCCUCGGCUUUCUCUUUCUGUAUACAACGUGGAUAACGUUCUGUUGUUUGGACCUUGGUCAAUUUUGGAAUUCUUUUAAGUCAACGAGUAACAAGAGCGAGGAAUUGGCGAGGAAUAUAUUCAUAUUAAUAUACAAAGGGGACCCCACGUGAGGCCAAGUUGCAUUUGCCAAAGUCUUUUUUUAAAAAAAAUAAAUAAGAAAAAAGGGGAUUUUAAUAUAAAAAUUGCCAACUUGGGAGGGCGGAGAGUUGUGAUAUGACACGUGUCGAAGUGGGUGAGGUUGGGAAAUACUUUAGAGCGUGUCAAUCAUCAACUUGUUGAAUGCGACGGCUCGCCUGUUCCUUGCCAACUUGCUGACACUAAGCAUGUCGUUCUGUCGGAAUACAAUUACUUACGGGCUCUUUCUCCAUCACACUAUGAAACUAUAACUCAAAUACACCUUUUACUCCAAACUUAUCCUAUUUCUACCACAACUAUUAUUUCUUAUAUCUCACUCUUCCCUUUCACUACUCUUCACUAUUAUUUCUUAUAUCUCCAUAUUUACUAUUCAAACUACAACCUUCAUUCAUCCAUUAUUUCUUUUUCUUUUUCUUUUUCCUUUUGUCAUUCUUUUUUAGUCUUCUCAUCCCAAUCUUUUUUCUCUUUUUGUGAGACAGGAAAAUCAUGAGAAAUAUUUUUUUUUUCUCAUAUGGUACUUUAAAAAAGUUUCCUCAAAUUACAUGUAAACUUUUAUGGAUAAAAGUAAAGUCUAAAAUGUCAAAAAAAAAUAUAUAUAUAUAUAUAUAUAUAUACUUUGUUUCGAUAAACUUUCAAUGAAGAUAUCAAUAGUAGUAUAUUUUUAAAAGAGAAUAAUAGCUUUUCAUUUUAAAAAAAAACUCAUUUUUUAAAAAAAAUACAAAACUAAGUUAAAAUAUUUACAAAUUUAAAUAAAAUUAUGAAUUCCAUAUAUGAUAGAGUUUUGAUAAUAUGAAUGUGUUAAUUUUGGUAGGUUGUAAAUAUUUUGUCAAAUUUAUUAUUUUUUACAAUUUUCAGAAAAAACUACUAAAAAAAUAUAAUUUUUCAUAAAAUGUAAAUAUUUUAUCAAUUUUUUUUAUAUUUUUGACAACUACUCUUUUGUUAUCUUGUUACUUAUUAGUGAUUUAUUUUGGUAUGUUUAAUUAAACAUUUGUUAUUUGUAUUGAUGACAGGUUGUUACUCUUCUUUUCCUUAUGUUUGGUAUAAUUUUUUAUAAUAUCAUGUUGAUGUAUAUAUAUAUUUUUUUUUUGUUAUGAUUAAUUUAUUAGAAAAUUGAAAGUAAUUAAGUUCUUGUUCAUAUUCUACUCAUAAAAAAAUUUAAAUAGUUUUUUGUUUAUUAAAUUAAGUUACCAAUUUAAUUAUUUUAUUUAAUAACGAUAGGUACUAAAUAAAAAAUUGAGAAAAAAUAGAUUGUAUUUUUGAAAGUUUAGAAAACGAAAUAGUUACGAAACAAAGAAGGUUAAAUGUUAAAAGGGUUAAUGACUGAUAUGCAUUUGUAUUUUUUUUUUGUUAGAUAACCAUUUUUUGUUUUUGUUUUGUUGUGUUUGUUGGGUAGUCUUAGUUUUUUUUCUUUUGUUUUCUUUUUUUCUUCUAUGCCUUUGAAAUGUUGGCAGUCUUAAAUUUUCAAUUAGUUUAUGUGUAACUUCUCCAACUAAAUUGCUUAUAUGCAAUGUAAUAUAAAUCAUUUUAUAAUAUGAUAUAUUUUUUAAGGUUGUUUCAAGUUGAUUUGUUCAUCACGGCUAUUUAAAGUAACAACGUACCAAAUUGUUCUUUUAAUACAACUUGUUAUUCUUUAUUAAUCUCAUUUAAAGGAAUCAUAUGAAAAGAUGCAUUGAAAGGAAAUUUAAUGUCAACAAAAGUGUAGUUUAUAAGAUUAUCAUGAUGACAGCAUGCAUGAUAGCAUAAGGUGAUUUAGACUGAUUCUUACACAAAAUAUGUGAUUCAGAAUUAUACAUUAUAGUUUAUAACUAAGGAAAAAUAGUAGAAGAGGGAAAAUAAUGAAGUAGAUGUGUAUAAUUAAUGGGAUUAAACUAUAGAAUUCAAAGGGAAAAUGUUGCAUAAAAGAGGACUAAGUGAAGAUAUAUUUAUUUUAUUAUUGGCCCUUUGUAUUGAAUGUAAAACUAGCUGUCCAACCACUAAUCUUUUUUAAUUAUUAUGGAUUAUUAACUUUUCUUACAUCCAAUUGAAAAAAAAAACUAUAAAAACUAGGUAAAGUAUGUUUUGAGCCCUCAAAUUUAUCUAAAUUUAAAAGUUUGACCAUUAAACAUAUAUAAUUAUGUAAAUUAUAUUGCUUAUAUAAGUUUGAGGGCUUGAUUUGUAUCCUUUACGAGUUCAAUUGUUAUACUUUUAGAAGUUUAUGACCCAUUUGUUUUGAUUGGAUGUUCAAGGGUGGAAUUCUUUUACAAUUUACACACGAGAUUUUCGGAAAAAUUUGCGUCGUGAAGUUGAAUUUAAGUUGAUGUUGUGCUUAUGUUGAUUUGAUGCGAUGUGGCUCGAUCUAUAGAAUUUGAUCAUUUAAUUCUCUCAGUUGAACAUUUACGCUUUGGAGGAAGCGGAGCACUUGAAGCUGGUUGAACGCCUAAUUUGAGUAAGCGAAACACGUGAUGUUCUUGAAGUUUGAGUCUUGAAAUAAAAUUUAUAUCUAUAAAUAAGCUUCAAUCUUCGUGUGAAGUCGAAUUGGAGAGUCUUCUAGUUUGGUGCUCUUGAAGUUGAAGUAUUGGAAGAAAUAAGUCUUCUAGUUGAGAAUUCUCUAGACUUUUGGAGUAAAAAAUUUUAAUCCCUUACAAAUGAGAUAACUCAAAUAGAGUCAUCUGAGUUUGAACUUGGUUGAUCCAUCUACCAGACCUAUCCAACGGUCACGUGACAUCAAUUAACUUAUUUAUAUUUUUUUAUUAGUAAUUUACUAAAUAAUGUGGCCAUUUUUUACAAAAAGAAAAAAAAAAAAGAUGUGUAUGACAAUAAUAUAUGAGUUUGAAAUAAAAUGAGGAGCAUAGACAUACAUUAAUCAAUUUACUUCAUUUUUCACACUAUAAUAAUAAUAAUAAAAAAGAAAACAGUUAAAACUAGCUCCCGGCGAGGAUCGAACUCGCGACCUUUCGCUUACGAAGCGAACGCACUACCACUAUGCUACGGAAGCACUUUUGAUUGACAAUUUGAAAAUGUUAAUAAAUAAAUAUAUAUCCAAGUUCAAAAUAAUGACUUUAAUUCACAAUCUUUUAAAAGUAAAUUUGCCCUUAAAUGUAUAUGUUAUCUUAUAACAAAUUGAUGCAUUGAGUGAAUACUAUAGUAUUUAAAACAAAUAAAUAAAAAUUUGAUCGUUAAUUAAUAGGGUUUGAAGUCUCUACAUAAAUUUAAAUUCAUUAAUUGUUAUUCAUGGUUUGGAUUAUCCUUUAAAUAAGUUAUUUGAAACCAUUUAAGUUAGUUAACUGUUUAAUUCAUGGGAGUUUGAGAUAAUGAAUUUGUUAUUAUAGUUCCAAGUGAUUAUAAUUGAGUUGUAAUAGUUUGUGGUUGGAGUGUAUUAUUUUAAUAUGUGAUAUAAUAAUAUAUGUUUGAAAUGUAAAGUAUUUUAAUUUAAGAAUGAAAUAGUAAACACUGUAAUUAAAAAUAAAAUAACGAUAAUGGAAUGUGUAACACAGUGAAAGUUGUAGUAAAUAGUAAAUGUUUUAAUAAAUGAAAAGUUUUGAGAUAAUGUUAACUGUUAACUAUAGCUAACUGUAGAGUACAAAACAUUAUUUGUUGCCACAAUAGGUGAUUUUUAUAGUCGAUGAUAAUAUUCGUCUCAAAUGCUCCAUUGGAGAUUAAAAAUAUACGUUUUUAUCUCAAAUGCUCUAUUGGAGAUUAAAAAUCACACAUUGAAAAAACUAAGAGGACUCACACUAUUUAGAGGAAAUAUGAGCUAAUCUUCUAAUUGUCAAUUGAUUUUGAUAUGAAAUCUCGUACUAUUACAUAUGAUAUUAGAAUCCAUAAAGUCGAAACGAAUAUUUUGUCCAACAAAAUGAGAUUGAGAUUGAAUCAAAAUUGGUGAGGCAAAAAAGACACCAUCUUAAGGAACAUGUUGAGAAUCAUAUAUUGGAAAAACUAAGUUAAUUCAAACCCAUAAAAUAGAUAAAAUCACUCAUUUUAUUAUUGUCAAUUAGUUUUGAGAUAAAAUAUCAUAUAAUCGACAAACGCUCUCACCAACAUAUGUUGACUUGUAAUCGAACGAAAGACAUAAUAAAUAUCAUAAAUAUAGUUUUAUGUAAUCAUAUGAAAAAUAUGAAAAGUAUUUCAAAACUAAAAGAAAGAUUUUCUCAAUAAAAUGGUAAAAAAAAGAAGAGCUCCCGGCGAGGAUCGAACUCGCGACCUUUCGCUUACGAAGCGAACGCACUACCACUAUGCUACGGAAGCAAGUGGAUAUGAGUGCAUCGCAUCAUUAGGUAUAAAUACUUUUUAGUUUAAAUAUUGCAAUGGUCACCGCUGUUAAGACCUACGACAGAACGCGGUCUCUCGCUGUGCGGAGGCGGCGGUGGCGGCAAUGUGUGGAAUCGCUUUGAUCGUUUCGGGCAUUCGCCUUCAUUUAUCUUCUCUACAUGUAGACGCCACAUCCCCGUCUCCUUCUCCAGUUCACGAGCAAGUCAGUAUUCUUCAUCUAGCCAUUUUCGUCUCAUUUGCUUUUAGUUUAGAUUUAUUGUUGUGGCGCGAAUUCCAAUUGAGUGUAUAACACUUUCUUUGUGGUUUUGGAUUGAUUUUCGUCUCGUUUUCUUGCUCCAGCUCGAGUUUUCAAUUGAUGAUCUUAAAGCAGUAUUACGGAGAAGAGGGCCCGAUAGCUUAGGGGGAGUGAAGGUUUUUUUCUCUUUAAAAUCUUCUAAUCCCAGUGGAGAAGAGCAGCUUGAGUGUUUCAUUGAAAGGGUUGAUGAUGGCGUAGCAUUCCAAAAUCAAAAUGAUCAAUACGAGAUGGAAAAUGGAUCUAUUCUCCAAUCAGAGAACGGUUGCAGUAAUCCCAUCUCUGGUGCGGAGCUUUAUUUACUUGGGGCCACGUUACAACUUAGAGGUGUUAACUCUAUUGUUCAGCCGCUGAUGGAUGCUUCCCGCAAUAUUCUUGUUUACAAUGGUAAACUAUAUGCAGAAAAUUUUCAUACUUAAGUUUGAUAAUCGGAUUUUAUUUUCUAUGUCAUUUGCUUAUUAUAUUGAUCACUGUUCAGUAAUGACGCCACCUGAAUACUGCUUUUAUACGGAUCAUUUUCUUUUUUCUGGGUUCAUUAAGUGUUCUUAUAUCUUGUAUAGAUUCGAACUAUUACAGAAGGAAGUAUAUUAAAUUUGUUUUCUAUCAUUUUUAUUUUCCGAAGGUGAAAUAUUUGGAGGACUACAUGUUGAGUGUCAUGAAAACGAUGCCGAAAGUCUUAUGCUAGCACUUUGGAAUUGUUGCUCAUGUAAUUUUAGUUUAGAUAUGAACACAUGUGAAGAUGAAUUUAGGAGAGAAAGAACUAUUGUGGAUAUUCUUUCAAAGAUCCAAGGGCCAUGGUCAAUCGUCUACUGGCAGGUAACUCUUAGCGGUAAGUUUCUAUGUUAUGCUUAUUGACCUUUGCAUACCGUUUAACCUUGGCUUUGUUGUUAUUAACUUAUAACUAAUCAUGUCUAGGAUAGUGCAAAAACUUUGUGGUUUGGUCGGGAUGCCUUUGGUAGGCGAAGUCUUCUUGUUCACUGGCCAACAGUGGAGGAUUCUCGGUUUCUGUUGUCGUCUGUAUCACCAGCUUCUUCCAUGUUUCAAGACUCUGGUAUACUGUGCUUGUUAACACUUCACACAUCUUCUGUUAAAGUUUUUGUUGUCAGUUUAUUGUUUUUUAACGGCUUUUUGUGCUUCUGAUACAUUAAUUGCAGGGCUUGAAGUUGACAGUGGUACUUGUGAAGUGAGCUUCUGGGAAGAACUACCAUGUGGGAUUUACAGUGUCUCUUUUGAUGCUCAGAAAACUGAUGGUUGCGUGGUUGGUGAAGUCAAAAGGCAUGAAUGGACCAAUGAGUUACUGAAAGAGCUUGUUGAGUGGAAAAGAACUCGUAUUGUACCUGAACAUGGAGACAUCUCCACUCCAUAUCACAAGGAUUGUUUGUCACAACAUGAAAGCCAUUCUACAUGUUUACAUAACUUGCAAUCAGCAUCGGGUAUCUAUUAUUGCUCUUCAUUGUGGUGCUAUAGCUUAGAAACCAAAGUUCCAAUUCUUAUGGUAGUUUGUCUGCUGAUAGUUCAUCCUUGUCACUGAAAAGUGAAAAAUCUGUUUUUGAUGAAGAAUUUGAUCCUCCCCUUUUUGCUCUUUGUAUAACCCUUAUGUACAUUUAGCUUUGUCUCUCUAUUUUUUUUAUAUAUUAAUGAUAGUGAGACUCGUAUCCUUUUCGAAAAAAAAAGAUGAAGAAUUUGAUUUCUUGACUAUCUUUGAAUUUUUUUUCAUCGAAUGAAUAGGGAAUUUCCAAGCUCCUGUCUCAACACCUGCAGAGAUUCUACUGGAUGCUCUAAGGAAGUCUCUAAUCCGGCGGACUUCACUUUAUACAAUUUUCCAGGUUAAUUUUUUUUAUUCUGUUUGUGUGGCUCAUCUAUUGGUUUUUAUUAAGUUAGCUGUUCUGAUCACGUGCUUUGAAGAUUUUGUUUUACCGUGAAAUCCUCUCUUUUGUACUUGAACUUUUAAACACUUCUAUUUAUCAAAGGCCUCGGUGAUAUUAUGAUUUGCUUUAACAACACGUUCUUUUCUUAUAGAAUUUAUAAUAUCAAUUGGACAGUCUAUAUGGUGGCAAAGAUUCACUUUUCUCUGGAAAAAUUCUGAAAUAAGGAAAUUUAUUCUGAAUGCAUAGGGUACUAUGUCUGCUUCCAGAAAAGCAGAACUUGGUCCAGUGGCCAUUCUUUUUUCUGGUGGGUUGGAUUCUAUGAUUCUAGCAGCAUUACUGGAUGAAUGUCUCGAUCCUUGUUGUAAGUGUUUUUGAAAUUCACAUGAAAAUAUAUUAUCAAUCUCUAGGCUUUCUUUUUUUUUUUGAGAAGGAAAUGAAUCUCAUUUAUUAUAAAUUCUAUCUCUAGGCUUUCGGGAUUAAUAUUCAGCACAACAGUGAUGUUGAUCAUAUUCUAUAAGUAAACAUUAUGAGUGGGGCUGGAACUUUCAAUAAAGUGAUGUUACUUUCAUUUCCUAGUCCCAGUUUAUUGGUUAAUUGGUCUCCAUCUUCUGUACAGAUGAGGUGGAUCUUCUUAAUGUCAGCUUUGAUGGAUGUUCUGCACCUGAUCGCAUCUCUGCGAAGGCUGGUGUUAAGGAACUGAGUAGAAUUGCCCCUCUAAGAAGGCAUUACAUCAUUGAGCUCUAUCUUAAGUCUUGCAUUGACCUUUUUGGUUAUCAACUCUUUUAGUGACGAACAUUUGGAUUUUUAUUUUGUUUUAUUUUAAUUUUGAAAAAGCAUGGAGUAGUGAAAAUAGAAUACAUUGAAGUUGUACUGUAGCUAAUUUGAGACAGGUGAUAUCAUGGAGUUUCUUUGUGAAAGAAGAAUCGGGUGAUAUCAUAAGUAAUUAAAAAAAAAAUGCAUGCUAUUCGUUUUAGAAUAGGUCUGUAAUAUCAAGAGGUAUUUCAUUGUCAUAUAUUGUUUUUGAGUUACUGUGCUUGCAAUAUCUUCUAAGAAGUAUCAUGGAACCAAUAUUUCAGUGAAAAUUUUUGAAAACCAAAUGGGUCUAAACAUAAAUGAUAUUUUCUCUCUAGUUAGUGAUUCUCUUGAGCUAAGACCAGGAGCUUCUUUCAGUUGAAAUUUAAAUAGUCUAUUAUGUACUAGACUCAAAAGAAUUAUGAGUUUUUUAAGAAUAAAAUUAUAUAUUUUGAAGUUUCAUGGGCCUUUUAUUUUUCUCGUGCUUGAACAGUAAUCUUGCCGGUGCCAACAGUUUCUUUAUUCUCUCAAGUGGAAUGCUUUAGUCUUUUUCUACACUAACUCUAUUUGCUUAAAAAAUUUAGGUGGAAGCUGGUUGAGAUUGAUGCUGAUAUGUCAGAUUUGACCUCUGAAACCAAGCACGUCAUGUCUCUAAUAAAUCCUGCAAAUACAUACAUGGUACACUACUUUUGUUGAGCAUAACGUAGUUUAGUGUUUACUGACUUAGUUUGUUUUUAGCAUUCUGAUAGACUUGUCUUGAUGCGAGUAUAUUGCAUAGAAUCAACAACUCAUUCCUAUGCUCAAAGUAAAAUGAGAUUAUGGCCAAACCUGUCACAUUCACCUUUGUACAACUCGACUGAUAUGUAUUAUUACAAGUAGAUGUAUUCAAAGGAUUUUGAACUCGUGACCUCUUUGGUUGGUAGACUAGCAGCCAGUAGGAUUACAUCGAUUGUUCUAUUCUAUGUUAACUUUUAUUAAUUGCAGGACCUAAAUAUUGGAAUAGCUUUGUGGCUGGCCUCUGGUGGCAAUGGUUGGAUUUAUGAAUCAGCUGAUGAGGAUGAGAAGUUCCAUCAACGUGUAAAAUACAAGUCCGAGGCCAAGAUUCUCCUUGUUGGUUCUGGUGCCGAUGAGCAAUGUGCUGGCUAUGGCAGGCAUCGAACAAAAUAUAGACAAGGGGGGUAAGAUUGUAAGAGCGAACUGUUCUCAUUUCAUACACAAUACUUUCUGUUUCUAGGAAUAGGGAACUCUUAUUUUUCUUAUAUAUCUUUUUAUACCUUUAUUUUUUACAAUUUCCAUCGGAAUGAAAAUGAACUCUUAGGUAGGGUAUAGAUUUCUGUAGGCAUUCUUAUCUGCUUAUGUGUUAUGCCCCCAUACGGAACGUGCCCCCCUUUACGUACCGAGUGAGGACAUGAAAUGCCAAAACGCCUACGUACUUCUUUAAACUUAACCUAAACCUUAGGUGUAAUCAUGCUGGUGAAAGCUUCUGCCAACAGGCAAUUUAAAAAUUAGUAAUCCUUUUAGUAACAAUCUUGUUACAGCACCUCCCCUUUCCUCACGUUGUCCCAAAACGCCUACUCAAGCUCAAUUUUGCUAACUUCAAAAAUUAAUUACCAGAAACCCCUUUAUUAGGACGCUGAUUUCACAUUAUGCACAAGUUAUUGGACACCGACAUCUAUAAUUGAGUCUUUAAUUUAUUAUUAUUAUUACUGUUUUAUUUUAAUUCUAUAGUUCACAUCCGUAAAAGUUUGGUAAAAUGUGAGAAAAAAAAACUUUUUAAUUUUAGUUUCCUGCAUUGUUCCCUUCAGUUGGAAUCUUUUAAAUGAGGAAAUGAAGUUGGAUAUCCAGAGAAUCUGGAAGAGAAAUCUAGGGAGAGAUGACAGAUGUAUUGCAGAUAAUGGGAAGGAGGUAUUUCAUGGAGUGAUAUGCCAAUGCUACUAUAUGCCACAUUUCUUUCUCAUUCAAUCAAGUUUCCACUCCUUUUCGUAGGCUAGAUUUCCCUUUUUGGAUGAAGACGUUAUACGUACAUUGCUAGCAUUUCCUCUAUGGGAGGUUACUGACCUUGAGAAACCUGCUGGAACCGGUGACAAGAAGAUACUUAGGGAGGUUAGUGCUACUUAUACCUCAAUUAAAUUUCUUUAUCGUUUUGAUAUUUUUCAGAUUAGCAAUAUUAUACUGUUGAAAAGAGUUUUAUCUGAUAGCCCAAUCUAGUCCCUUUGUAGAUGGAUUUUAUUUACACUAAAAAAAAGGUCAUUUAAGAAAAUAAUUGACGCUUUGUCAUCUUAAAAUGAAAGUUUAGUUACACGAAGCAUAUUUAAUUACAUAGUGUGCCCUAUCUACCGUUCCUCAAAUCCUCAUCAUCUUUUUGAAGGUUGCAAAAUUACUUGGCCUGCACGAAGCAGGGGUUCUACCUAAAAGAGCAAUACAGGUAUGCAUCUUCCCUUUUACCGCACUGCAAACUUCGUUAAACAGUUGUCAAAUGUUAAAUGCUGUAAACAAGGAUGUCAGAUAUCGGAUUAAUUGGUCUGCAAGUGAAAAGUAAACCCUUCCGUAUGUAAUUCGACUUGAAGCCAAGUGGUUUUAUAUCAAACUAGAUCAGUUCUACAGUGAUGGAUCCAUCGAAAAUAUUAGAUUGCUUAUAAUCCUAAUGCGCAUUUGAUCAUCAGUUUGGCUCAAGGAUUGCAAGGGAAUCAAACCGCAAGAACUUCGGAAGCAACCGGGCUGCUAAUCAGGCCUCCGCCGGAAGUGUGAAGUUCAACAAACAAUCUGUACUUCGGUGAUGCCCUAUCUAGGCCUGCCCUCUGGCUCAAGGCAGUAUAAUACAAGCGGCUGAGUUUUUAUUUUUCCUAUAUAGAAUAAGCUGAAGAGAACCGCUUUGGCAAACAAUUAAAAGGAAGAAAUGGGCGAUUUCCAGUGCAUUUUGAAAAUUUUGGAUUCUCUUUAAUAGGCAGUAUAUUUGAGGGUAUAUCAUUGGAUCUUAAGCUAUUUCAUGUAGUGUUUGGAUUUUGAGUAGAACUAACCCUUAGUGUAGUCAUAUGACUCAGUUAAAUGAUUAUUGUAGAAGAUGAACAAUUAUUUACUAUGGAAGAAUGGAUGGAUAGACAUCCUUAUGGUGCAUUGUGAUUUUGAGCUUUCUUUCUAUUAAUCUUCAUUAUAUGAUAUAUCUUUUCGAUAAGUUGGAUUCUCCAAAUUUUUUAAAUUUCCUUAACAUAUUUUGACAGCUGCACCUUGAUAGUUAUUUCAUAUCUAAAUUUAAUUUUUAAUUUAACCACAUAUCUGUUAGAGAUAUAUUCAAAUAUAUUAAAAUGAACUAAAAUAAUUAUAAAAAAUAACAAAAUUUUAGAUUAUAAAAAAUAACAAAAUUUUAAAUUCUUUUAAUUUAAUAUAGAUGAAGUUUUAUUGAAAUGUAAAAGUUUGGUCGUUUGUAAUAAUUUUUCAACCAUAUAUUUAUAAUUAAAUUAUGUUAAAUGAGAAAACUAAUCUUUUAUUAAUUUGUUAUAUUUACUAAAUCUUUAAUAUAAAUCUAUAAUGUUGUACAAAAUGUAUUAGUCCUAAUGAUAGAAAAGUAUUAGAAAUGACUAAAAGAAGUAUUUUAUAAAAUUGAACAUAUAAAAUGUCCAAAUUAUCCCUUCGUUAAAAACCCCUAAAACCCAUUCCUUUCCCUCACAUGACUAUACACAGCAGCGGCAGCACCAUCGGACGGUGAAAACGUGACCUCCAUUGACGACGCCGGCGACGACUUGGACGGAAGCUAUUCUCUUAAUAAUACUGAUCUUGUUUUGCUUUCUUUCACCGUCUUUCCUUAACAUUGUAAAGCGACCCAAAGCACGGCCGGCUCUGUAUCCCAUUAAAGGUACCCCAACUUUUUUACCAUCUGAACUUCAUCUGAUUUGUAAACUUGACAUUUUGAUUGGUUUGGUAGGUUAUUACCACUUCUAAUCUACUUGCUUUGGUUGAAAAACAUGAAAUUCAGUAGCGGGAAGCAGCUGCUCGGUGUGAAGUACAUUUUCGGCAGUACGUGGAACUAGAGCAACGACAGUGGAACGAAUAGGAUUCAGUUUGUACGUGUACUUGGCUGUUUUGCUCACUCUGUUCUGGUUCUGAGAAGAAUUUCACUUCUGGGUUCGGAUUUAGAGGUUGAUUCUUAGUGCUUUCACAUGGAGGAUCAGAGUUCUGUGAGCGGUAAUUGUGGUAAUGGUAGCGAGAACAAGUGGGGAGCUGAGGAAGCCAUUGCUGGAAACUCCGAGGCCCUUAAAGCAUUGAGAGAGCUGAUCGUGUUCCCGCUACUAUUCUCACAGGAAGCUAAAAAAAUCGGUCUGAAGGUAAGAUAAUUUCUCUCUUUCUCUUCUGUUGUUUCUAUAUAUGAAUUCUCGAGUUGGUUAAUGAUUGUUAUGUGACUCGAUUUCUGGUUAGUUUAAUCGUGGGUUUUUAUCAUGAUGCUUAACAGUGGCCUCGAGGUUUGCUCUUAUACGGUCCCCCUGGCACUGGCAAGGUACGAUUUUGGUUGAAAAUCUUGAAUCCAUUUUGGGAAACUUGCCCCGACGACUUGUUUUUGUGCUCAUCUGUUUCAAGCUCCUUUUCGUAUUGCAUAUAAAGCUUUUUUUUCUUUACUGAAUUUCGAUGGGAAUUGAAAAUGUUUAGACUUGGGAGGUCAGGUUUUCAAUUUUAAAUCAGCUUUUUUCAAUCUGUUGAAGCUCCCAGAGUAAAGAAUGAAGUUUUUCUUACUUUAUUCUUGCACUUCGAAACGAAACUACUGACACCCAAAUAUUAGUUCUGGAUGUUGUCAGUUGUGUGUGUAUUUAUAUAUUUAUAGUUAUAGUAGUUGGAAGUGAGACAGUUCUUUUAAAAUUUGUUUACUUUUACUUGUUAUUAUUGUGUAGACAUUUCAUUCAUUUUGCUUAAGUUUUCAUUUUAGAUGCAUAAGUUUUAAGCUUGAGGAAUAAACUUUUUUCAUUGCCAGACAAGUUUAGUACGUGCAAUUGUUCAGGAAUCCGGUGCACAUUUAACCACUAUCAGGUUCAGCUGCAUUUUUCUCUUGUGAACUUUGUAGCAUAGGGCAUCAUCAAAGUAAUCAAAUUGAUGAUAAUUAAGUAACUUUUUUUAAUGAUUAAGUUUGUUAAAUUUUGGUAUUACUGUUUUCCAGUAUCAUUCCCGUAAUCUUUUUUUUAGUCACCAUGGUUUCAUUUUCAAUACAUUACGCAGUCCCCAUUCAGUUCACAGAGCACAUGCUGGAGAAAGUGAAAAAGUUCUGCGCGAGGCCUUCACCAAGGCAUCAUCUCUUGCAAUAUCCGGAAGGCCAUCAGUUAUCUUUAUAGAUGAAAUUGAUGCACUUUGUCCCCCUCGAGAUUCGAGGUAAUGAAAACUGAUUACGCGAAUGUAACUCUGAAACAAAGUUAUGCUUUGUUUUAGAAUAGGAAUAAAAUCCCAGCUAAAUUAUAAGACUACCCUUGAACUUUGCUAUUUGUUUUUAAAAUACCCCUUUUUUCAACACUUGUAAUAUUACCUUUAAUCUUUAUAAAUAUUUCAGAACUACCAUUAGACUAGAAAUCCAUUCCAAUGUUGAAUGAAAAUUAGGACCUAGAAGAAGACAUUCGGACAUGAACAUUGUUCCAGGUCACCGCCGUACAUGUUCCAAGUCCAAAUUUCCAUUCAAAAUCGCAAUGGGUUUCAACAUAGUUUUGAAAUAUUUAUCUAAAGUCUAGAGUAAUGUUGCAAGUUUUAAAAUAACAAGGACGUUUUUUAAAGUAAAGGGCAAGUUCAAGCUACUUUUGUAUUUUAGCCUAAAAUCUGUUAGCAGGUUUAUUGUUGCUAUCUGGUCUAGAAGAAAAGAGAGGUAAUGGGAAAAUGUAUGACAGGCUACUCAAAUAUAAGUUGAGUGUAACUGACAAUGAAACCCAUCUAAGCAAGUUGCUUGAAAGGGUUGAUUUCUUAGGGGUACAUCUUAUCCUUUGAAUAAUGAAGCUCUUUUAAGUUUCUUUUAUUAUUAUUAUUACUUUUGAGAUAAGACAGGGAAUUACAUGGAUGAUGGAAGUAUUCUCAUCGUAGUUGAAGCCAAAUUUACUAAAAACCUCUCCAACUGGUAACUAUAAAAGAAAUGGAGUAACUACAUUAAAGAAUUUGAAAGCAAAUUGCUGGAAGAUUCAAAAGAAUAUAAACCAGCGAAAUCGUCCGUGUCCCUUGAGCGAUCUAAAGUUGCUUUCACACCAUCAAGAACAUAGUCUUUCUUUCUUCCUUGUUCCCUCCUUUUAGUUUUUACUCUAUGUCGACUUUUCUAGUAUAUCGUUUACCUAGUUUAAAGGAUGUGAUAUCUUCUUGACUAUCAGACAUACCAUUCCACAGAUUAUCAGUUUAUUUUAUCUUUUCUUUUAGGGGAAGAAGGUUUCAGUAGGGGAUAAUCUCAAAUCAUUAUUGAUUACUGUCUACACAUUCAGUGGGGGGAAGUUCUUUUUGUUGAUUACUUUUCUUCUGUUAUGUUCAAAUUCUUAGGAGAGAGCAAAAUGUUCGUAUAACCACUCAACUUUCUAUACUGAUGGACUCCAAUAAGCAAUCAGCAUCUGGUAGACCACAAGUUGUUGUAGUUGCAUCAACUAACAGGUAGUUAUCUUCUAUUGUUCUACUAGAAAUUCUAUCAUUGUUAAAAUAUUGUCUUUAAAUUUUUACCUAAGAUUUAAUAUCCUACAAGUUUCCUUGGCGCUUAAAUGUUGUACGGUCGUGUUGUCCCGUGAGAUUAGUUGAAGUGUGCAUUAUUGGCCUAGACACUCGUGGAUAUAAAAAAAAUUGUUUACUUCUAUCAAACUUUAGUUUUGUCGCCUAUUAUUAAUUACCUUUUAAAUUUUAAUUAGUUGUACGUGGAGUUUGCUAUACUUUGACAUAUAAGGUGCUAUAUAUUCCAUGGAAGUAUAGAAUAGUUAAUUCAUUCAAGUGAUUGUUAAUUUUUCUGACCUUGGCGCUGGUGAGAGAAAAAUUGUAUUAUAGAUAGCAAUAUGCAAAGUCCUUGGUGUUUUUUCUCUGUCUAUAUAAUAAGCUGUUGGGCUAAUGUGUUCAAGAUUUCUCUCUUUCUCUCUGUCUCAACUUGUGCUGUCUCAUUACAUUACAUGGGUAAAAUAUUACAACAGCACUGUUGGUUUUUGAGUGACUGUUUAGCGUAAAAAUAAUUGUACCUAACUGGUUAAUCUUUCUUUGCUCUUUUUUCCUUUUAUUUGUCAGUUUUUCGCUCGUUGUCUAAAUAUUUGAUAUUCACUUUUUGUUAAAGAGUGGAUGCUGUUGACCCUGCACUUAGAAGGUCAGGGCGUUUUGAUGCUGAAAUAGAAGUAACAGCACCAACUGAGGAUGAAAGAUAUCAAAUUCUUAGGGUAAGUGAUAUCUUGGCUAUACCCAUCCUGCAAGGUUAUUUAUUCACUUAAACCUUUUAGUUUGUGACAUAUCAUCAUUUUGGUCCAGUGUGUUUUUACAUUACUAGUAUAAUAGUAUUAAAUGAAACUAUUAUGUGUUGAGGGAAAAAAAUUAUCAACGGUUGUAAUGGCUUUAACAUUUAGAUUUAACCAUGUCCAGCUGUACACAAGGAAGGUUCAAUUGAAUCCAGAAGUUAAUUUACGAGCAAUAGCUGCAUCUUGCAAUGGGUUUGUAGGAGCUGACUUGGAGGCUUUGUGUCGUGAGGCUGCAAUGGCUGCAUUGCAAAGGAGCUCAGGUACAAAUGAGAAUGCUAUUCUCUGUAUGACAACAGAAGACUGGAAGCAUGCAAGAUCUAUCGUUGGCCCAAGUAUGACUAGAGGCGUAACCGUAGAAGUUCCAAAUGUGACUUGGAAUGAUAUUGGAGGACUUAAAGAUUUAAAAGUAUGUAUGCCACGAUUCUUUUCUGUCUGCUUUUCAUGCCACAUUAAUUACAACUUUCUAUUUAUUAUAAACAGAAAAAGCUACAACAAUCAGUCGAGUGGCCUAUCAAACAUGCUGCUUCUUUCUCAAAGUUGGGUAUAUCGCCUGCACGAGGGAUUCUUUUGUAUGGGCCUCCAGGUUGCUCCAAAACAACCCUAGCUAAAGCAGCUGCGAAUGCUGCUCAAGCAUCCUUUUUUUCACUUAGGUAUUUUCCCCAAAUUCUGCGGAUGGGUCUCCAGUUUCUCAUCAGAAAGCUCUUACUGUUGUGUAUGUGUUCUUCUUUCAAUAGCAUGAUACCAGUUUUAACAAUAUAGACAUAAGGAAGUGUAGAAUUCUAAAUAUUGAGUGACAGUGACUUGUCAAGCAAUAUCAUUAUUGCAAUUGAAGAAGGAUGAACAUGGACAAGACACAAAACAAACACAGUGACAUGUAGGGAUGCUCAUUGGCCUACAUUUUGGUUUGUCUUCGUCAGUUUUUGGUCUGAUUGGCUCUGACAAUGUUUUUAGUUUGUGAAGAUGGAAAGCUAGACCAACGAUGUUGAAUGGACAGAAUGAACUUUUACCAAAUAGUUGGUUACAUUGACUUGAAAUGCUUAAAUUUACUAGGGCUUGGGGCUGAGACCUCAGAGAAAAACAGCAUUUUCCAAAAGAAUUUCCCAUCAAACACAUCAUGUAGUCAUUUCCUUGCUAAUAGCUAUAUUUUGACUUCAAUUCACCCAAUAAUUUUUCUAGUAUUUUGUUCAAAUAGGACGAUGUACUUGUAUCUCUGUGAUAAGACCUGGAAUCUUUGAGAAAUAGCCAACUCGUUAUUUUAUACUUUGAUAAAUAGGCAAACAGCUCUGGUGUUAAGUUUAUGUUUCUGAACUCAGACGUGAGAAUAAAAUAUCAAACUGCAAGCAAACCAUUGUAUUUUUUUAAUCUAAUAUCGAACUGCUCACUUUACAAUCUCGUCUUGGAUUUUUAACACAAGAGCCUUUUUCUUUUCCCCCACUUUCUGUGUGUUCGUAUGAAAUUCUUAGUUGAAGUAGUACUUUAUUGAAAUGCAUGCCUUUGGUUCAUGUACUGUUGAUCAGCGGUGCAGAAAUGUAUUCUAUGUAUGUUGGUGAGGGAGAGGCUCUACUGCGCAAUACGUUUCGAAGAGCUCGUCUUGCUGCACCAAGCAUAAUAUUUUUUGAUGAGGCUGAUGUCGUUGCUGCCAAGAGGUUAGUAUCUAGCAUGAUGAAUUUUCAAGUUUUUGUGGUUAGGCACAAGUGAUUCCAGAUUCAGAUAAGGCCUGUAUAUUUAUUUUUAAUCCCUUUCCUACUAAUCUUAAUUCUUGCAUUGUUCCAUGUGAUGAAAUUUAUUUUAUUACUCUAAUAUUAGAGGCGGGAGUUCAAGCGGCAACACUACCGUAGGGGAGAGGCUUCUUUCUACGUUAUUAACUGAAAUGGAUGGUCUUGAAGAAGCAAAAGUGAGUAUGAUAUCCAUAACCACCCUUUCCAUUAUUGGCUCUUUCGGUUGAAGGUGCAUCUCUUUUCCAAUUUUCUUUUGAGUCCAGUUUCAAUUUUGCAGGGAAUACUAGUUUUAGCUGCUACAAACCGUCCUCAUGCCAUUGACGCUGCACUUAUGCGACCAGGGCGCUUUGACUUGGUGAGACAUCCAUUUUUUCAUUUCAUAUGGUAUUAACAAGUAUUUCUUCCAUGGCAAGAAGGCGAAGAUUUCUUUGGUUUAUCUAAACUCACCUGCUUUGAUUUUACAUCUCAAAUAUGGAUACUAACAAUCUUAGCCAGUCCUAUUGACAUUUCUAUAUCUAAUGAACUCGUAGGUUCUCUAUGUACCUCCACCCGAUUUAGAUGCUCGUUACGAGAUACUUCGUGUCCAUACUCGUCCAAUGACAAUCGGAAGUGACGUCAACCUCAAAAAAAUAGCAGAAGAUACAGAGCUGUUCACCGGGGCCGAACUCGAAGGCCUGUGUAGGGAAGCCGGAAUGGUCGCUUUAAGAGAAGACAUAACUGCUAAUGUAGUGUGUGGUCGCCAUUUCCAAACGGUAAAGGAUGCUUUGAAACCAGCUUUAACCUUGGAAGAUAUAGCUAUAUACUCCACUUUUAUGAAGACCCGUUCUGCUCUGCCUUCACAACAUGCCGAUUUAAGUUCAAACAAUAAGAUCAAGAGUGAAAGAAAUUUGUUUGGUCCUGUUUCUUUGGUUAAACUUGGUUUAAUUAGCUGUUUCUUUCUUGUUCUUGCUAAGUACUUUCUCUCGAAAGAAUAUCAAGUUGAGCAUGAAUUGAUGACUACCUAGUUUCCUUUUAUCUAUAAAUUUUAGUUAAACUUUCACUUUUGUACUAAAUAGUUUCUUCACAUAUUUAAACCAUACUCAUUAGUGUUGGUUUAUAAAUUUGCUUAUUAAUGAAAGAAUGUAUUGAAUUUAUUAAAUAUUAAAUUUUUUUUUAUCAAAAAUACGAUUAAUGUAAUUGUUUGAUGCAACUGUGAAGAACCAACUUAAAUGUUAAGACAAUUUGAGUUAACAUUUAAGUAUGACUUUGAAUGUUUUAGUUUCAUCCAAAAAUAUUAUCUUUUAAGGGUUUUAAUUGAAACGGGAUCUGAUGUAUGAUGAUCAAUUCAAACCAAAUUUAAUUUGGUUUAAAGAUCUUCAGUUAUUUUACAAGUUCAUUAACCUUUUUAUUUCUGUUAGCACCAACAACAUCAAAGUUGGAGCAUAAUAAACAAAAUGUUGAGCAUAAUUGAAAUGAUGAAAUUAACAAGAGAAAGAAAGAAGGGUCAGCCGCGGGGGUUUAUAGAGGGUUUAGAGGAACCCGCGAAAUGUCCUUCCUGCCACCUCCCCAUCAAUCAACCGACUACGCAAACACAAUGCUUCGUAACAAGAUUGCUCAUACUUUACUCCGUCGAUCUCCAAUCGCCGCCGUUUCCUCUCCACUCUCCUCCCUCGGAGCACCCUCGUCCACAGUCUUUGCCUCUGAACCAACGCCUUCUCAAACUACUUGCUCCUCUUUCUCCUGUCGCCACCACGCGUUCCCCUUUUCCCUGCGGUUGUUCAAUACCAAUUCCUCUAAACACUUUCGAGAUGAAGUCAAAGAACAAAAUCCUCCUCAGUGUACGGAUGCGUUUUUUUUCUCAUCCCUGUGCAAUCCGUCAAUUUUCUCUUAUUUCCAGGCUUCAAUCGAGAUUACUUUUCGGGAUAUGAUUUAUGAAUGGGUUUUGUAGUUGUCUGAUUAGUGAUUCAUUUUCGAUUGACUUUUUAUACUGUAGAUGGUGGUAUGUUGUUUUGUGGAAUAUCUGACUAAAGGCGGUGUAUGAUUCAGUCAUUUUCAGUUGUUUUGAUUGUUGGACUGCUUCUCUUGUUUAUUAUGUUUCAUUGAGAUUUUUGUUCCUUUAUUUAUCCAUGCAGGUCUAAUGUUUGAAAGGCUUUAUGAUUUCAAUAAUAUUUGACUAAUUGCUUCAACUGUCGAUUACUGGUUAUCGUUGUAGUGUUAUUUAUAAAUCUUUUGAACGUAAAGUAGAUGGUCUACUGUAGAUUUUAUGUGGAAGGUUCCCUUUGCUUCAGUGUACAAAGUUUUCUUCAAUCUAAUGAUAAUAUCGGUGUGCCCAUUACAAUUUGUACAUUUGUCGGUAUUUUUUACUCUCUUACAGGAAUUUUCUAAUUUAAAAUUUGUUUAAGCCAUGUAUAAAGCUUGGGUCUCAAUUUUGUAAAUCUCUUAACUUUUGUAGAUGGGAGGGAAGAUGAGGGAGAAACCACGGAUGGAUGGGAAGAAGACGAUGAUGAUCUGGAGCCUGAGGUAUUUUCAUCUAUUGAACUGAGCUUUUAUUCCACUAUUUUUACAGGUGAUGCUAAUUUUUGUUGAUAACAUAGCUUGGUGAUGGAGGGGAUGGUGGUGGUGUCGUUUUACAAGGCGUGCCAUGGGGUGAGCAUGUUCUUCUUCUUGCUCAAGAGGUCCUGCUGCAAUUUGGCGAUGACAUAAAACUGUAUUCUUUCAAGGUCACUCCACGUGGGUACAUUUAUGUCAGAUUAGAUAAACUCUCACACGAGUAAUUUUCUUCUUUCUGUCUUUCCCUAUUUUUCUCACGUAAGAGCUGUGCGUUUUACCUUCUAAGCACUGGGGAAUUUGAUUUGCAAUCACUUUUUAAGCCCUUUUUGCGUGUGGGAGAGAUUAGCAAUCAACUCAAACCGUGUCUUAUAAUAAGAGGUGGAAAAAACUAAUCAUAUCAAACACAUCUGCCUCCAGGCUUUUGAAUUUUAUUUCAUACCCUUUAUCUUUGUCACUAUGAAUUUGGCUGACUCUGAUGGUUGUUGUCCCAACUAGUUAGUAUUGAAAAAUUAUAUUCUUUGAUGAAAACCUAUUUGUUUUUGUUUAAGUUAUAUAUUUGUUUCUGGAUAGGAAAUCUGUAGUCAUGUAGUUGUGAUGACAUCAUAACCAUGAAAAUAAACUGCGAUGGGCAUUGCAUCGGUUUGAAUUUCAUAAAUCAGAUUUAUAGGUGGCUUUAACUUGAUUUAAAUUGAUAGCUUGUAAAAUAUUGUUCUCUUCUUAGAUUUGGUUGUCCCAACCUGGAGGAGCUUGAUAGUUAUAGCAAAGAGUACAAAAAGAGAUUAGAUGAAACUGGAGCACUUGGAAAUAUUCCCGAUGAUUUAGCCCUGGAGGUAAUAGUUGAUAGACUUACUAUCCAUCCCUACUGUACAAAAAUGACUACUUAUUGGUUGAUUACCUGAACGAUCACACUUUUGCUGUGAAGGUAUCGUCUCCAGGUGCAGAGAGAUUACUGAAGAUUCCAGAUGAUCUGCUUAGAUUUAAAGCCACACCAAUGCGAGUUUCUUACAUUGAAGAUGUAGACUCGAGAGGCUCUGAAAAUGAUGGAGUUUUUAUGUUGGAUCAUUUAGAAUUGGAAUCUGAAAGUUGUAUCUGGAAAUUGGCAAAUGUGAGGGAAAACCGAGAUCCUUUAAGUAAGGGCAGGCCUUUGACUCGUAAGCAGAAAGAAUGGAGGUUAAAGUUACCCUAUGCAAAUCAUAAGAAGGUAUUCCUUUACCUUAAAUGCUGAGAGUCAGCUCCUCAAGGUUCAAAAGAAAGGAGGGGUCGUGUACUUAAUUCAUGAGGUUAGUGUUAGUUUUACGUAGGAUUAUUUUAUUUGAGGUCUUGGAGCUUUUCGACUUGGACACUUUCAUCUGUUUGGAAAAGUUGUGUCCAGUUCAAGCAUUAUUUUCUCAUAGGAUGUUUUUUUAUUUUUGGAAUUGAUAUCUUUGUAAGGAUUUGGUAUACUGGGUAUCUUAAGUUUUGCUUGUGUCUGAUCUUUCAACUGGUAUUUUUUUUCUCAACUGUAUUGAACUUCAAAGUUGAUAUUUUUUCCUCUAAUCUAAUUCAUUUUCACAGCCUAAAUGGUGUUUUCUUUUAGAUAUAUACUAUUUCAUUCACUUGGUUUCUCUACUUUUCAUUGCUCUUCUGCCCGUAACUUUUAAUAUUCACUCCUAAUCUUGGGCUUCUCUAUUGGUAUUGCCUUUCACUUUCUACUUUAUUGGUUAAAGUUCUGUAAAUCAUUGGAAGUUCCUUUUUCACCCUUUCCCCGUUUUUUAUAUAAUCAUUUACCCUUUAUCAAUUUAUUCUGUGAUAAUUUCAUUACCUAAGUCGCAUGCCCAUUAGUCGGUGUGAAAGCCUUGAAGACUCCUUUAAUGCAUUAUCUGUUUAUGAUAUCCUUGCAUGUUACAUCCCAGCAGGCUUUUAGCUCUUCAACGAAAAUAAAGUGCAGAUAUGUGGCUGUGUAUUACAUGGUGAUUGAGUAAAAUUCCUGAUGUUGGUUUGGUUUGCUGUUCAUUUGGUUUGCUGACGUUAAAACCUUCAAAAGAGUCAGACAUUACCCUUCAUGGACCAAGGAAAGCAAUUGCGCUCUCUCUCUCUCUCUCUCUAUGCGUGUGUAUGUGUUUUAGGGAUCUUGUUAUUGAUUUAAUCCUUUUUGUAAUAAGAUUUAAGGGAAACUAUUUUAACAAUAGUCACGAGAAUGAUAUUGUUUAUUUCAGAGUAACACUUAAGAGUGAUGCCAUUUUGAAAUCUAGAACAACAAAAAAGUAUAAUCAUGAGAACACUACUAUUCUUAGAAGAAUAAUACUUCUUGUCAGAUACUAGAGAGCUUGCACUUAUUUUCUCGGACGACUUAUUUCUAUUGGUUCUGUUAAAUAUAUAGCUUUUUCCUUCUAUCCUUGACCCAAUAGAGAUAAACAUCUUAUUAACUUAUGUGUAACCAAAAUUUUCUUCUCCUCUACUAGAAUUACGUUCAUCUAUGCAUGUUACACAGUAGAACCAGAGAGCUGACGUUCUUUUGGAGGAAAUCCAACUGAGCCACAGUAAUCUUAUCAUCCAUCACGACCAGAGGGCCAGCUAACAAAUUUCAAACUUGGCACAUAUUGCUUGUCACACUCGUAGAAUGAGCCAACAAGGAGUGUGUCUGUACGCUAAAGAGGGACAGGUCAAUAAUGGAGUAAAUUGUUUGAUGGGUGAUUUUUUCCCAAGUGGUUAUAGAUCCUAAAAGUAAUUAGUAGAGUAAUGAUACUUAGCUACAUGAAUGGUAUAGUUGCUUUUGGCUAGUGAAAUAUCGACCACAUAACCUUCUCCUGUAUUUUUUCCUCUUCUUUCCUUGUCUCCGUCAGCAGUAAAGUAUUUUGUGGCUGUUAGCUGUUGGUCUCUAAUUCUUCUUUCUACAUUUUUGUCUUAGUUCAUUUUUGUCCUCUCUAACUUAACCUCAUCUCCUUUGUUUGUUUAUAUCUAACUACCACAGAUUAAUAAAGUUUUAGAAUUACCUUAUUUUUCAAUAUUUGAUAAUUAGAAAUAAUGUAGCAUCAUAUAAUCUAUCUAUUAUAUUAUUUUUCACAGGUCUAUUUCCAUCAUAAAUUUUUAAUAUCUCCAUUUUAUCUGUGGUAACAGGACACAUUCAACAAAGGUAGAGCCAAGAUACAUAUUAUCAAUCAAAAGGAAGUGUCCACAUUGCCAUGUUGGGCAGGCCUCUCGGCUGUAGAGAUAGAUAGCUCAUUAUGGAUAAGUGGACCACUGAUUGGUUUUUAAUCAUUUCUAAGAAAGAAAAUUCAUGUUGCAUCAUGUGCUUUGGACAUAUCUUUUUUCACUAAUUGACACAAACAAAUUUAGGUCAUUCAAUUCCAACCCCAUUCAGCUUGGGUAUUGUAGUUAUUCUGGUUUUUGCAUGAGCAAGUCUCUUUCAUGAGUACCUACUUCUUAUGUACACUUUGCACCUCUCCUCAAUAAAAAAGUUACCUGACAUCAGAAGAAAACAACUUGGGGGAAAUUUUAGAGGUAUUAAAUAAUUUCCUUUCUGGCUUAUUCUUGGCAUGUUUUGUUGUGGUUGCAGGGCCUAGUUUUUGAUGAGGAUCUAGCCAAACGUGGAUGCUUUUUUCAGGUAAAAAUACUUCCUGAAUCUACAUACCUAUCACCCAUUUCUGUUUUCUAUGUUUAUAGGUAAAUUGAUUGGAUAUUGUUUUACUACUCAGUCAACUUAGGAAGGGAACUAGAACAAAUAAUUCAUGUGAGUUUUGCUAAAGGUGCUUUUGUGUUGGUGUUGCUUUUUGGUGAAAUAUGAUAGUGUUUUUUUUUUUUUUUUUUGUGGAAUUUGGUGAGGAGAAAACAUACAUGAGGUAGAAAGAUGAAACUCUAAAGAGAGUUUGAUGAAUGUAGGUCUCUCAUAAAUGCUUAUUUGAACCUUUCACGUUUUCCUUCCGUGUGGCAGUGGGAUUCUUUCUUUUGUCUGACAGCUUCUUCAUCUUUAUCCACUCAAUGCCACCAAAUGACUUUCCUCUUCUGCCAUUUUCCUCCCAUGGAACUCAUGGAGGUAAAACUUCUCUGAUAUUUCAUCAACAUAACUGCAAAACAUAAGAUAGAAAAUAGGGUAGUAGAUCAUGAAAUUUCAGGUGAAAUGUGUCGUUAGAUUAACACAAUCUUUACAAACGUUGCAGUGUAGUUUAAUUCUAAAAAGAUUCAUAGACGAGUUUCGGCGUUAAUGUAUGUAGAAUGACCAAUUCUAAAAAAUCAAGUAAGCUAAACACUCUCCUGACCUUGCAUAGAACUAUUGCAUUAGAGACAUCCCUCUUAUUGCAAUAUUUAUUUCAAUUGCACCCCUAACUGUAAAUAGAAAAUUGAGAUUGAUUUUGAAAUUUCUUUCAAAUUUCCAACCGCAAAUAUUUUUUUAAAUAAAAAAACAACAAUGCCAUCUUCCUACCUCACUAGGUUGUUAUAGGAAACUUUGCCUCAUCAGCAGCUAUCUCAUAAAUGAGUAAAUCGUUUUGGGAUUGAAGUUUCAAGUUCAAGUUGUGAGACUUCUACUCUACAACUCCUUCGACAGUCGACAUUACCAAUUGGAAUUAUAAAUCUUUAGGCACAUUAUGAUUAGGCAACAUUAAGAUUAGUAUGAAAGUUUAAAUGUUAUUACCUUUUGGUUUUGGUUCAUUCUUUAUAACUAUCUUGAUUCGUUUUGUGCAUAUAGCAAUUAGGAUAAACCAAAGUUGGGAAGAUUGAAUCUAAAAUUUAAAGCCGAAAUUAGUAAAAUAUUCUGUAAUGUAGUAGAACUCAAUUUGAAGAAGCAAAGAUGGAAAUUUUGUGGAUUUCUUUAAUUGUGUUAUAAUGAAUAAUAAUAAUGUUGGUGUGUGUGUGUGUGUGGAUGUCAUUAUAGUCCAACCAAUUAUUGAGAAUACGAUUGGAUUGGCUAUUCUUGGUUUCACCAAUUAGUGGAGAAUAAGUACAUAAGAUGAAAUUAGCCUCAUCCACCUUUGAAUUUUUAUUACACAUAUUUUAAAAUGGUCAUCAUUACUUAUGGAAAUAAGUCUCGUUUUAUUCAAAUUGUCAAACAGUAAGAAGCCAAGAUUGGUGAGCGCCGUGAGCAUUUAAAUAAACUUACACACACACACAAAACAUUAUUAUAAUUCCAUCAAAAUAUAUUGUAUCAUAUAGUAAUUUAAAAUUGAAUUUAAGUUGGUGGGUCAAAUUUGGAGGAGGUGGUUUGUGAAAAAUCAACUAUAUAAUUAUGUAACUUCUAGCUCCAUAAUUAUAAGGUAUGUAAAUAUGACCAAGGUUGUAUAAAGUGAUUUGAAAAAGUGAAGCAUUGAUGAAGAUAUAUUAUUAAUUCUAAAGUUGUUAAUUUUACAAUAUGAAUAUUCUAUAUAAUGUUUUAGAUGAAGGACAAGAAAAAGAGGGGAAUUUCUUUGCCCUUACUAAUAAUAAAAGUUAUAGCAUUUAUGAAAUACGAGAUUUUGAAGAGUGUAAAACACUCUCUAAUGUGGAGACAUUUUCAAUCCAUUCUAUUCAUCUAACCAAAGCUUUCUUACUUUCAUUUUUCUUCCCUUCUCAUUUUAAACUUUCUUUGUUCAAUAAACCUGUGAUUUUCAUUUGGUUUUAGAUAAAAAAAUCGAGUCAAAUUGAACCACGUAGACUCGAAGUCUAUUGGACGUGUUUUUAAAUUGUUACUUAAAUAAUCAAUCUCUUAACUUAAUCGAUUUUGUUAUAUUUGAUUUUCGGUCUAUUAUGAACUUUUAAGACUAUAGAUUUAAUUAUAUGUUUAAUUUAAAUUGUGUAGAUUUAAUUAUAUGCUUAAUUUAAAUUUUGUAUUUUUUUAGGUGUGUAGAUUUAAUUAUAUGCUUAAUUUAAAUUUUGUAUUUUUUUAGGUGGAUUGAAUUCUAAACUUUCAAAUUUUUAGGUGGAAGAUAGAAAUUUAUAAUUUAAAGUAGGAUCAAAUAAAUAGAAAGAUCAAAGCUCAUAACCUGAUUUUUAACGUAAUGUUCCAAUUUUUAAGGUAUUUACUUUUAGGAAAAGUAACUUAGAACAUUAUAAUAUAUUGUUGAUUUAGUAUGGCAUUGGAGAAUGUGAAGCUUGGUAAUUAAAUUAUUUCUUAUGAUAUAUUAAAAGGAAAAUGACAAAGAGAGAAAAAAAAAUAUAAAGAUUCUCUUCAAUAAUUGAGACUAUAGAAACAACCAUUGAUUAGUUAAUCAACAAAUAAAAUUGAGAUUAAUAGAAACCAACCAUGAUUAGUUAAUGAACUAAUUAUUAAUUAUGUAAAGAGCUGAUGCUUCAAAUCUACAGGCAACUAAUUGGAAGAAAAACAAAUAGUAGUUUUUAUUACAAUAAUAUAAAUAUCUAAACAAUUAUAUAAAGAAAGAAAGAAAGAAAAUGGCUGCAAAUGCCACCAAAAUUCAAAGCUUUGUUGGGAAGUUGGGAGGCAAUAGGCUAAGCUCCCUAUGUUCUCAAAUUCAAAGCUUUCAUUGAGUAACCAAACCCCACAUUCUUCCCUUUUUUUUCAUUGCCAUUGCCACACUAAUAAUUAUCAAUAUGGAAUUUGUGUCACCUUCUAGUUUUGUGUUUUCAUCUUACCAAAAAACAUUCAUUUAUUUCUCUAAAUUUUACUGAUUUAAACUUAGAACUAGUAAUUGUAUCACUUCAUGAAUAGCUAAUUAGAAUCUUUAAUAAGCUUUAAUUUGUAUUGAUUAUUUCUCAAAUGGUUUAAUAUAUUUGGAUAUGAACAUUUCUAUGCCCUCAUUUAUUGUAUAAUUAAAUAUUCUCUCUAAUUCAAAUUAAUUAAGCAGUCAAUUCAAAUUGGUAAUGAUAGCUUAACAAAGAAAUUCAUUUCAUAUAGGCUGUUUACCAUAAAUUAUGUAUAUAAAAUCUACUUGCAAUAUAUUUAUAUAACAACACUUCAAUUAUUAUUUUCUAUUUUCUAAUUUUUUAAUAAUAAACUAACGAAAAUUUUGAAAUUUUUGAACAAUUUUACCAUAAUGAUCGAACAAUUUAAUGAGAUAUAUACGUAUUUUUCUAUCAAUAAUCUCUUGAACUUUUCUAACAAUUUGAGGUUCCAAAGGGUGUAGGAGUUUUGAAUGUAAAGACGAUUGAAUUGAUUUGUUGUGAUGUGGGGUUUCAAUAAGUUGGGUAAAGCAAAACAGAACUACCCUCCACUGUGUGUCUUUUCUUGAUUUUGACACCAACAGAUUCCAAAUUUUCCUCUUCAUAUACACUUCAUAUAAUCUUCUUUUCUUUUGAUGGUGGAGACGGCCAAAACUUGAGAAAAUGAUGCCUCACAACAUUUCUUCAAUGCCAACACUUUGAAAACUGACAUAAAGUUUGGCAUAUAUACAACCAAACAAAUCAUUUCUGUUUACGUUGUUCAAUUCAAGGUUUAAAGUUCAUAGAUUGAUGGAUCUAUAUUCAAGAAAAAAUCGGAGUUGUAUCUCAAAAGAAAAAAGUUAUUCGUUUCAACUAAGUUAGUAACUUUAUAUCAAUAAAAAAAUAAUCGAGUUGCGGUUGAUGAGGUUCCAUGCAACCUUGAAGGCUUUAAACAUCAAUAGAUUUUAUCUUUUUAUGCUCAGUUAAACUAUACUGAUUUAAACUUGAGUGUGACAGACUUGACACUUGAAUAUUAAAGUGUGGUAGAUUCAGCACCAUAUCGAUGCGUGAAUCUUUUUACAUAAAUAAAUUGUAAAAGCAAGAUUAGAGUAAAAGAACUGGAGUGAAAAUCAAGAUUAGGACCCGAAUGAGUGAGGUCUAAGCUCCAACAACUUCAAACCUUGAGAAUUCCAUAAACUACUUGACUUCACAACUAAUUUUAGCAAAACUUUGUGGGAAAUACAACUCCAUUUUUAGGCUAUCUUAACCUCAUCAAUCAUCUAGCCACUCAAAAACAAAAACCAUGACUGAUAAUGCUAUUAUGAUCAUGGGGAUUUGUAUCUUCGUGGGUUGUUUCAACUUUUUAGCAUAUCUUCCGUCUAAUGAAACAGAACAACAUUUGGAUGUGUUUGUUAUAGUAUUGCCCAUCUCCUGCUCUUAACAAAGGAAUUUAAUAUUUUGAAUAACAAAAAAAAGGUGAUGAGCUUGGUUUGAGGGGACAAUCAGAGACCAAUUUCAGAGGAAGGGGAAGAAUUUUUGUAAAGACCAGUAAAGAAAAAAAGGAACAAGAUACAUGGACAUGGCAGAUGGAGUUAAAUCUCCCACUACUUAAGUACUUGUAGAGUUAAAAUAUUCUGCCAUGGUUGCACUGUUGCAAGACAGAUCCAGCAAUUGGGUACAUAUGUCAGCAUUGAAUUUGUCCACUUGUUUGGCUAAUUUGCAUUCUAAGAGUCCCCUCUUUAAGUAAAGGACAGACAAAUAGUUUCCAAUAUAAUUUUUUGGGUAAAUUGAAACUUGUUUCUUUGCCAAACAACAAAUCCCAUUUUUUCUCAACGUUCUUGCAGUUGAUCUACGAAGAAGAUAAAGUCAUCUUCUUCCUAUCUGUUACAGAGAGAAAGUGGAUAAGAGUUUUUUUUAUAACAGAGAAAGAUAGAGAAGAAAACAGGGUGAAAAUAAGGGAAAAAGAAAAAGUUGGUGUUGGGUUUUGUGGGUUUUUGCGUCACGAUCAUUGGCUGCACGUGGAAGCCUAGAAGGUAAAUUCCUCUGUCUCAACUUCUUGUGAGGUUUUCCCAUUUAUUAUAAUCGGUAAAUUAACAUGGAUUGUAGAGUAUUUUCUCUCAUUACCUUGUUAUUAUAUAUUAGUUUCGUGCCGAUGCCUGUUUUCCUCCACCUUCCUCAGUUUCUUCCUUCUUUGCAACUGUAACCCACCUUCCAUUUUUCUUCUCAAAUCUCUGUGAGUAAAUUUCUCUACCUCUUCUUUUUUCCCUGUUUCUGUUUGACACUGUUAUUUGCGCCAGUUUCAUAAAAAAUCUCAGACUAGCGUCUAACUAUUUCUUUUUCUAAUCAUUUCUAUUUCUUUGGUUUCCUUCUGUAAUGGGGUUGUUAGUUUUUUUUUUUUUUUUUUUUUUUUUUUUAUGAUCUGGGUAUGGGUUUGUUUUUAUUUUUUAUGCACCAUUUGCUUCAUGGUCAUCGACCCAAAUCGAGGGUUUCUGUUUUCGAUCCUCGGACGAUGGCUCAAUUAACGAAUUUACAGUCUAAUUAAAGCUUUGUGCAUGUUUCUGUUCAUGUGAUAGUGUGGAUGUUUCUUUAUUUGUAUGUGUUGAAUUUCCAUAUUUAUUACAAUCGGUCGGGAGUUGUAGAUUCUUCAACUGCAUGCGAUGAAGUUUUUGUAAUGCCCCAAAAUUUAGUUCAAUGCACACUUGCUAUAAGUGCGAGGAAGUAGUAAGCUCUUCCUUCAUUGAUCUUCUUUACAAAUUUUAAAGGAUGGUGUAAAAUUUAGUGUUCAAUCAGUGAGUUCUGUUCAUCUACUUUUGAGCAGGAUUUGUAACUUUGUGAAUUAUGGCUCUAUGUGGGGAUCAUGAAGAUAGAGAAGUGAGGAUCCAUGAAAGUUUGGAGGAGCUAAGUACUGAUUUAGCUGACUAUAUUGCUGAAUUAUCAGAGGCAUCUGUGAAAGAACGUGGGGUGUUUUCUAUCGCGUUAUCUGGUGGUUCUCUGAUUAGCUUACUGGGGUAUGGAUGAUUUUGUUUGUUUCUCUGGUUUCAACGAGAAUUUGUAAAAUUUGGUUUCUUCCUAUAAUUUUUGGUCAAUGGAUAACAGAAAGCUCUGUGAAGCUCCUUAUAACAAGACUGUCGACUGGGCCAAGUGGUAUAUAUUUUGGGCUGAUGAACGUGUUGUUGCAAAAAGCCAUGCCGACAGCAAUUAUAAGCUUGCAAAGGAUAACCUUCUUUCCAAGGUUUGCACUAAUGUUUCUCUUUUGCUUGUAAUUGAUGGUUGCCUCUCUUUUUUAUUCUUCUCUUUUCUUUUUUGGAGGGGCCUGGGAUGAGCAAAUGUACUUGGUAAUCUGAAAAUUUUGAGGAACUAAAACUAAAGAGCAAUUAUCCCUUUCCACGAAUACUUUUUUUUGCUAAAUUCUGGAUCUCUUCAUGGAUUUUAACCAAGGAAAUAGUUGUAUCGAUUAAUUCUUAGUUUACUUUAAUCCCUCGGCUAUUAAUUGCCACUUUAAUGUCUAAACAAGGAACUAAAUUAGUCUUAGAAGUUCCAUGUAUCAUAUACAUGAAUGAUGCAUUAAUAGAUCUGUUCUCUAUAUUGUAUUGGAAUUGGCGCUUUUUCAUUGCAAUCAUGUGUGCUUCCUGUCUCAACUUCUAGGGACCAGUUGGUCUCUCUCUCUCUCUCUCUCUCACACACACACACACAAACACACACAGUAACAUUUGGUGUAGGGAUCUGAACUUCUGGCCUUUUGGUAUGUAGUGCCUUAGCUAGUUGAAGUAUACUCAGUUUGCUCACUUUUGUUGAAUUACCACUCUGAUUUCCUAAAGCUUUCUUUGUUAAUUUUCACCUUAUACCCUUCCUUAUACAAGCGAGCUCAAAAUGUGAUUACCAAACCCGAAGAUAUACAUUAUCUAGCAUAACACUAGGGUGGAAAUGACCAAAAGGUUAGAUGUUCAAGCUGCCACCCCAUUGUUGAACUAACAUAGGGAGGAGAUAUCAUUGAAAAUCCAUCCUCGCACCAUGUCCUACCCUUUGAAAGCAUAAGUGAUUUCAUGAACUUUAAUCUAAUGAAACAUUUAAGAGAUGGAAUUUUUAUUGUUUUUGUUUGCUAUACAUGAUUGCAAUCAAAUACUGAACGUAAACUUUCUUCGAGACUAGAAUGCGGAGGAUCUCGUUUUCCGCACUCCAUCUUCACAUGUGAUAUACUUGUGAACAUUUAUUAGCUUUAUGGUAGAACUGUGCAAUCACCAUAUGAUAGUUUUCCAACCAAAACCGUGUGUGUGAUCCUCACGAUUUAAAUAAAUCUAGCUCUACUGAUGAUCUGCUCUGUUUAUAUUACUAGGUCCCAAUUGUUCCCAGCCAUGUGCACUCGAUCAAUGAUUCAGUGUCAGCUGAGGAAGCUGCUGAUGAGUACAAGUUCGUCAUUCGACAAUUAGUUAAAUCCCGCAUUGUAAGUGUGUCCGAUGUGAGUGAUAGCCCCAAGUUUGACCUCAUACUACUUGGAAUGGGCUCUGAUGGUCACGUUGCCUCAUUAUUCCCUGAUCACUCGGUGCUCGAGGAGAAAGAUGAAUGGGUUACCUUCAUCACUGACUCUCCAAAACCUCCUCCAGAGAGAAUCACCUUCACAUUGCCUGUGAUCAACUCUGCAUCAAAUGUGGCAAUUGUUGUGACAGGUGAAAGCAAAGCAGAGACCGUACAUUUAGCCAUCGACGACGUAGGACCAGACUGCCCACUCCUACCUGCAAGGUUGGUACAGCCAAGAAAAGGAAAACUGACAUGGUUUUUGGAUAACAACGCUGCUUCAAAACUCAACAAUUACCAAUUUUCCGAGUAGGCUUAAGCUGUUCCCAACACAGUGUAUCUCUGUAUGUAGUUGAUGGAUUUCAGCAGUUGUGGAUCCUUAUCUCUUCAUUUCAGUUCCACAUUAAAUCUCCCCCUCUCCCUUUUAAUUUUGGGUCACAUUCUCCAUAUUUUGACUUCUCUUCAUCUCUUUUCUCGAGUGAUUAGAAGUGUGAAUCUCCUUUUCAUUUUGUAAGCAGAGCUAAAUAAGUUAAUAUCAAAAGCAGAUGGUUUUGUAGGACAAUUGCUGCUAUGUAUAUUUUGAAGCCAGCAGAAACAUCAAUCCAAACUUGUAAAAAGCAGCCUUCUUCACAAAUUUAUUGAAUGUCUCUCUUUUCUAUCUCUCCUCUCAUUCAUUCUAAGAAAAGUUUAAUAGUAAAAUUGGCCAUUGGAAAAAUGUAAUCUAACAUCUUCCAUCACUUUCCAGAUAGUGAUUGUUUUGAAGAGUGGAUUCUAUAUUCUGAGCUACAGAGAGAUGACAUUACUGGGAAUAAUACUGAUUUCAAAAGUUACAAUCCAAACUUUUUGUUGUUCUCUUAAUAGGAAGAAAUGCCAAAUGUGCAAAUUUUUUAAUGUCAAGUGGAUAAGCUUAGGUGACUCCUUGGCCCAUAGUGAUAAGACCUCUUGUAGUUAAAUUAUUGCUGAGGCUGGUUUCUUGGAUCUUACUCAUGGAAGCAAUGAUAAGCUUCACAAUUUUUUUUCUUCUUCUUUGGACCCACCCUUUAAUGGAGUUGGGAAUCACCAGUCCUAAUAACAUAAUAACAUAAAAUAUAAUUUAGGGUAUUAAAUUUUCGUUGAUAUUUUAACAUUUGGAUUGGUCGUCAUCUAGAAAAGAAUUGACACUUCGUGUAGCAUAUAAAAUAAACGAUAAAAGUAGACAUCUUUAUAGAUUAGACGUCGAUACGAGAGAAGAAUUGACAUUUCUAUCACAUCGUAAAGAAUUUCAUGAACUAUGAAAUAACUUAUUUGAACAUAACAUAAAAAAUAAACAUUUUAAUUUUGUAAAAUGUGUAUUUAGAAAAAAAAAAAAGAUCUUGUUCAUCUUUUUUGUUCUUAAUUUUUGAGUUGGAUUUUAUUUAGUUCCUGAGCUUCAAAUUCUUACCAUUCUAUUACGUGGUCUUUAAAUAUUAAUAUUUACAAUUUUAAAUUCAAUAUUUUUUCAAAUACUUAUUUUUCGUGUUCGGUAUCAAUGUAUGCUAAUUAAUUUAAAAUAAUUAAACAAGCAACAAUUAAUUAAAUUUCACCUUUUUUUCAUCGCUUUUAACACUAAAUUAAAAUAUCUAAUUAAAAAUACUUUAUAAUUAUUUUAAGUUAAUUAAUAAACCUUUACAUCAAAAUAUCUAAUUAAAAAUCAACCUUGAAAAUGUAAAAUCUUAAGAUUUAUGAAUCAAAUUGAAACAAAAUUCAAACUUUAAGAGUGAAAUAUAAUGUAACAUUUUGAAAUCUAGAGACUAAAUAAAAACUAAAUCUAAAACUUAGGGACCGAAAAUGUAUUUUUUCCUUAAUUUAAAUAUAUUUUUCAUACAAAAAUAUAUACGAAUCAACGUUAAUAACAUAUCCAACAUUUUCAUAAAAUCAAAACUUCACAUCUUCAUUGACAACAUCAUUUUUUUACUUCAAAAGACUCCAUCUUCUAAUCACUUAGUUUAGACAUAAAUACAAAUGAGCAAAAUCGUGGUUGUCUAUCCUCACUCGAACACUAAUAAAAAACGAAUUCGUCCAAUCGUCCAAUCGUCAUGCUCGUUGUUGUUCCCUGAUUGUGGUGAAGAACAUUAGUUAUAAGCUUUAGGGAAACAAAAAUACUUUAGUGGUAUAUAGUGUACAGUAAUGUAUAUACUUUCUGAAACAAUUGCUGUCUUUUCCUUUAUAGGUUUCUGAAUUGAUUGCUCUUUUUUUUCUGUUUGGCAUGCAAUAACUUGAAGCAUUUGCUUGGCCUUGAAAAUGAAAAGCCAAAUCAAAUUUCCCAUUACAUUAUCCUCAUGAGAGAGGAAGAUUCCUACAAAGUUUCAUCAUUUCAUUAACAAGAGUUGCAAGAAAUGAUACAGAUACAUUGUUUUUAAUUUGGUUAAUUCAAAAUACUCAUUGAGUUUUGGGUAUACACUCCAUAAUCCAUCACAUCACCUUAACUGUAUUCAAAAAGGCUAUGGUAGGUGUUAAAAAAGAUGAUAGUCAUAAAUUGAAUAAGCAUUGCACAAUGUUCAAACCCUUCCAUACAAAUGGGUUACUCCACUGAAUGAAAAGAGUUAGAUUAUGAAACUGACAUGUUUGAAGUGGAGGAACACUUCCAAACACGUUUUCAUACACUCGUUCAACACCUAUAAAAUACUUUUUGUUCGUGUAACAAAUGUUUAGUACGACACUCUUGUUGAAUACAUUGAAAAGAUACAAAUUUUUAUUAUUUUUUUUGUUUUCUCGUAUCCAUUUCAACUUUCUUGGUUUUAUUUAGUUCGUUUUCUUAACUUCUGUUUAUUAAAAAUAAAAAUAAGACCCCUUCUAAAAAUAGCCAAAAAAAAUUAUAAUAAUAAAAUUCAUGACACUACAUUUUUCAAAUUGUAAAAAUAGCAAAUUUAAAAGCCGAUAACUUUGUGAUUACCAUCUGAUAGUCCUCCCUCCAAUAGCCUUAUGAUUACAGUUUGAUAUCACUAGUUUUGUCAUAUUUGCAAUAUGUAAAUAAAAAAAAUAGCUCAUGAGUUGUUUUUUUAAAAUGUUUGUAAUCUUUCGACAAAAAUUAACUAUUUUUUAUUUGAAAAAACAAAUAGAUUAGCAAAAAAGUUCAAGAGAGUUGUAAUAAUAAAUUAGUUAAAAUAUAUAUUCAGAAUAUAUAAAUGAUAAAAAGAUUAAAAUAAAAACAAAAUAAACGCCGUUGCCGGGGAUCGAACCCGGGUCACCCGCGUGACAGGCGGGAAUACUUACCACUAUACUACAACGACCCUUUGAUUAACAUAACAUUUAUUAAUUAUUUGCUUUAAGAUUAUAAUCAUUAAUUAAACAAGAUUUACAUUUCUUACUUUUAUUUUAAUUUACAACUCAUUUUAAAUUAAUUAAAUAAAGUAUUUUUUUACUCAAUGAACUUCAAAGUUUGAGAUUUAACGUAUGUGUCUUUACCAUCUCGUAAAUUUUUUAAGAAUGUAUAGAGAAUUAAAAUGAACUUUAUAAUUUUCUAUUUUUUUUUUUAUUUAAUGUUUAGUAGUAGAUAUACUGUGUCAUGAAAAGCUUAUCGAAUCCCUUUCUCAAUAUAUUAUUUGUGUUUGUUUGAGUUAAACAUUUAGCUAAUUACAUUAUUUAUGUUUAUGUUGACAUGUUUGAUAUUUUUAAAAUUUUCAUGAAUUAUAUAACAUCUAUGAAAUAUAAAAAUUUGGGUUUGACAUUUUUCACUAUAAUAUUACGAAUAUAUAAUAAACAUAUUUUGAGAUUUUCUAUUCCAAUAAAAACUUUUGAAAAAUUGAUUAAUGUAUUUUCAAAAUUACACAUGGUUUACAAAUCAACUCCAUUUAUAUUAGAAAAUCAAAAGAGUUUAUUGUCAUUUAUGGAAAAUAUCAUACUUUUGACUGAUUUGACAAAUGGAUGGUACAAAUUUGACUUACAAGAAUGAGGAAAUAUGCAUGCAAUUACAUGCAUUUAUAACUUUUUCAUUUUGAAAUGUUAAAUCUUAAUUAAAAUUUAGAGAUGGUAUGAUAUUAGGGUUUGCUACGAUAUGCUUUGUGUAAUAGCACUAGCUAGCGUACAUUAAGUUAUCGAUAUAUUUCACACUUCGAAACAUUCAACACAAUAUAUCCCACAAAAGCGACGAAUGACAAAUCAAAAGAUUCCUAAAAAUGGGUACAAAAUUGAAGUGACAAUAGAUUUAGGUUGGUUUUGUCUAAAAACGUUAAAAAGCAAAACCAUGCACAAAUCAAAACUUGGUUUCUAGUGGAGGAAGAAUCUCGUGUAGGUUUUAAAAAACAAAAAAAUCCAAAGGCAAAAGAGAAAUUAAAAUGCAUAGAUAAUUGCAAAACCCUAGAGAGAGCUAUAUAUAUAUACAAAAUUUGUAAGUACAGUUUAUACUAACAAAGAAAGGUGGAGAUUUUCAAGUGCAACAAUGACUUUGUUUCCAUCUUUGGUAAUAGGGAAAGGAUGUUUCAUUUUCUUUGCAAUUUUGCUAUCCAUCUCUCUCUCUCAAGGCUUCAUUAUAUUCCCAAAAACAAAUAUUACUUUAUUUUUCUUGAUUUUAUUAUGUUUGAAGAUACUGCACGUUUAGGUUCUCAAAACUUUAUUAAAACCAUAAAUCUCAAAUCGAAACAAGACUCAAAUUCGAAAAAUAAUCUAAAACUAAACUAAAAACUUAUGGACUAAAUAGAAAAUGGAUCAAAAAUGUUUUUUUUUUAAGAAGUGAACUAAAAUGAGAGAAAAAGAAAAGGUUUUUGUUGGGUUUGGGAUGAUAUUGACAAGUGCUUUUAGCACAUUUCAUUUUCAAAUUUCCUAAUUUAUCAUUGCACCCAUUGCAACAUACAACCACUUCUUUCUUCACCAAUCUUUUCACACUUUUUCCUCUCACCCUUUGCUACCCUUCUUUAUAAUUUUUUUGUAUUUUUUUUCACAUAUCUAUGCUCUAUUUCUUUAAAUAUGAAAUGCCCAUACUUAUUUCUUUAAACAUGUUAUGUCCAUCAUCAAAGUGUCUUUUUUUUCUUUUUAAUAUAUACAAUAACUAUUUUUCAAUGAAUUAGUAUCCUAAAAUGUACAUAGAUUAUGAUUCUUAAAAGUCUUACUCUCCCUCUCUCCCAUCUAAACUUGUGUUAAAGCAUCUCUCAAUACAAUAUAUUCAAUAAUUUUAAACAGUAGGGUAUAUGAAUAUUUAAUUGAUCAAACCAUAUAUAUUUGAAUGAGAGAUUAUCAAACUAUGUGAUUAACAAACAUAUAUGAAUUGAAUUAGCUUGGUUAUCAAACUAUAUAUGAUUAUUAAUUAACUGUAUAAUUAUGUCAUUUCUUUAGUGAUAACUUUAUAUGGCACGGUGAUAGAAAUGAUAUUUGAAUGAGAGAUUUGAUCUUUUUUUUCUAAACCAAGCUUUUAAACAUACUAUAUUCAACUUAAAUUCCAUAUAUGUUUCAGAAACUAAUAAAUUAUUGGUUAUUAGUAUGAGAAAUUAAGUUUGAAUUUUAUUUUUUUCUUGGGUUAUUGGUUGUGUUUAUGAAAUAUAUGGUUUAGGGUUUUGUGUGAGAGGUGAGUGAUGAUGGGUCUGAAAAAGUGGAAGGUCAAGAGUACAUACCUGCAUGAUUGCUGACUAUGGUAACACUAAACACUACAUUUUUUUGUUUUUGUUUUUGGUUACUCUCUCCCUAUUAUUCCAUUUUCCAACAACACACUUACUUUGUCUUUUUCUUCUUCGCCUUCUCUUUAAAACCCUCUCAAUAUUUCCUAAUUUUAAUUCCAUCAUCAUCAUCAUCUUCUUAUUCUUCUUCUUCUUCUUCUUCUUCUCAUUCCAUUGUUUUACAAGAAAGAAAAAAAGAAGACUAAUUCAUUAAUGAGUAACUCCGAAGACAAAUCUUCCAUGGCUGAUCUGGUUCAACCUUCUGAGCAUUUCUGUUAUGUCAAAUGCAACUUUUGUAACACUGUUCUUGCGGUAUAUUUUAUUGACCUGUUCAUAUAAUACUAAGUUUACUACAAUCUGUCAACUUAUUAGUGUAUGUUUGUGAGUAAUUUGAAUAGAUACAUGAGAUAAUAUUUUGUGUUAUAUGAACUAUAUUCCAUAUAUAUGUGUAUGAAUUAUGAAUGAAUGAAUUUUAUUUUUGGAUUUUGAAGGUUGGGAUUCCAUGCAGACAUUGGUUGGAUACGGUGACAGUGAAAUGUGGUCAUUGUAGUAAUCUCUCUUUUUUGAGCACAAGACCUCCUUUACAAGGCCAAUGCAUUGAUCAUCCUCUAACUUUUCAGGUUUAGGGAGAUUUUUAGUUUCUUUAAAUUAAAAAGAAACGUUAUUAUAUAUAUAUAUAUUAUCCUAACUAAUUAAUUACAUUUACAAAUAAUAUAGUCUCAGGUUGGAUUCUCCAAUAAUGAUCAUAUUCGAAAGGGUGCUUCCACAUCUUCCACUUCCACUGCCUCUUCAAUCACAAAUGAUUCUCCAAAUUUUGUUGUCAAACGUAUGUAUAAUUUCAUUAUGAUAUUCACAUUUUUUUUGGAAACUAAUAGAAAUUAUAUGUAAAACAACUUUGAAGUAGAAGUGAUCUAUAAGUUUGAUUUUGAAAAACCAAAAACUAGAAACCAAGACAACACUGUUUCUUUAAUUUUUCAAAAUUUUCUAUCUAAAAAAUUGAACUUUAAAUAAUAAUUUGGAAUUCCAAAUAUGUAUUCUUUUUUAGUUUUGCUUGAACUUGGAAACACUCAUAAAAUAACAAAACAUAUUUAUAAUAGAUGGCUAUUAAAGAAGGGUUUAAGUACUCAUGAAAAUAUAAUAUGUAAUUUUAUCAUCACCCAUGGGUUAAAGUUUUGGGUCAAUCCUACUUUGAUGUGUUUAAACCUAAGAUAAUAUAAUAUAACAUUAAAAUUUACUUUCACUUAUAAACUUAUCUUAUUGAUUUAUUAUUAUUAUUUGUGUACAGCCCCUGAGAAGAAACAUAGACUCCCAUCUGCUUACAAUCGUUUCAUGAAGUAAGAAUAAUUACAACUUAUUAAUUACAAAAGGAAUAGAAAAUUAAUUUUUCUUAAUUAGUUCUUUAAGAAUUGAAACUUUAUUAUAUUACAAUAUAUACAUUAUUGUUUUAAUGUUAGAGAGGAAAUUCAACGUAUCAAAGCUGCCAACCCAGAAAUACCUCAUCGAGAAGCAUUUAGUGCAGCAGCAAAAAACGUAAUCAACUUUCUUUUUAAUCUAUACAUCUUUUCUUUUAUUUUUUUUCAUUUUAAAAUCUAUAGUUUCUUUAUUGUUAUAACUUUUUUUUCUUCACAACAGUGGGCAAGGUACAUUCCUAAUUCAGCUGCUGGGUCGGUUUCUGGUACUCACAACAACAAUGUAAGAAAGAAAUUGUAACAAAUAUAAAAGUUUGAAUGGUUCAAUUUUAUCAUUUAGUGAUAAUUUUCUCUAAUUAAUCAAUAUGAAUAUGCAACUAUUGUUGACAUUAAUGGAUUUUAGGGGCUUUUUCAAUUUUGCAGGAAUGAAAGGGUUAUAAUUAGGACAGUGGAAGAUGGGGGCGAAUCAUAUGGCUGUCUAAUCUAGGGUUUGAUAAAGUUAAAGAAUUGACCAUGUCUUAUGUCUUUCGUAUCGUCAUUUUUUCCUCGCACUUCUUGUUUUUUCUUUGUGUUAUGUUUUUGCUUUUUCGUGGAUGAAUCUUUGUUCGUUGUAUCGAUUUAAAGCUAUAAGAUCGAGUUGUAUUUUCUAAUAUCAUAGUAUAAUUGUAAUUCACUUUUUUUAUAUAUAUAUAUUAUUUUUGAAGUAAAAGGUUCAAAUCUUGACGUAGUCUAUUAUAUUUGUGAACAAGUUUUUGGAUGAACAUAAAAUUAAAUCGUGCAUCCUAUUAAAAUUUACAGUUUGUGUCAAUUAAUAUCUUUUCUUGCCCUAAAAAUGUGAGAUUAAAUGGAUAUGUAUGAUCAAAUAUGGAGUUAAAAGUAAAAAUGUGUUGCUUAGAAAAAGAACAAAAUAAAAAGGGGUUGGGAGUGGAAACGACAGUCCCGGGUAGGACGUCAUGUCGUCGGGACGUGGGAAAGUAAAAGACGACAGUGAAAGUAAUGUCGGGGGAGAAAGAGAAGAGUUGAAAGGAGACGGAGUUUUGAACUUUUGAGGUUUACCAAACGGCAGCGUUUAGUUAAGAUUUUUUGCUCCAAUCUUUUUGGUCGUCACUUCUUGUUCAUGUUAAUAUUGGCCCAAUAUUCUGGCCCAAAAACUUCCUUUUUAUUUAUUUAUUUAAUGAAACUUUAUUACUGAUAAAGAGUUUAUUAAUAAUAAUAUCACAUUAUUUGAUAGAUUAUGAAAUAUUGAAAUCUUUUGUUAUAUUGAAAUUUUUUACUUUUUUUUCCAUUGUGUGAUAUAACAUCUACUAAUAUUUUUUAUUAUUACAACACAACGUACUAUUUUUAUUAAAAAUAUAAAAAAUAAUCUACAUAGACUAGAAUUGAACACGUUUAUAACUAGAAAGAUAUCUAAAUUUUAAAUGAUAGUUAAUUAACUAGAAUGAAUUUAAUAAGUUAUUAAUCUUUCAAUUUUUCUUUUGCCUAAUGAAGAUCUAAAAAAUUAAACUUUAAAUUUGUGUUUAACAGGUAUAAGAAUCAUUUGAGUUCUUUUUAGUUAUUAUUUUUUUCCCUUUUUCUCAAGGAUGUUGAGUAAGUGAAAUUUGGUUUGACAAAGAAAAAAAGAGAGGAUGAUUUCAAUUUCCCAAAAGAAUAAUAAUAAUUGACAAACAAAAAGGGCCAAAUCAUGAUAUCGCAUGACUUGUAGGUAUAUUAUUUUGCUUUUCUAAAACCUAAAAUUUAGAUAUAUAUAUAUAUAUAGACAUGAUAAAAUGAAUCUUACAAAAUAAAAGAAAUAUUAUGGAAAAGCUAGUGGUGGAAAAGAAAAUAUAAAUAUCAAAUUAAGCCUAGUCUAACAAUAUAUAAUUAACAUGUCUUUCAUCUUUCAACAAUUAGUUAAUUUGUAAAUGUUACACACAUUAUAUAAAGAAUCAUGUUGAAUUGAAAUUUUAAUUAAAUAAAACAAUUGAUACAAAACAGUGAUAAUAAUAAUAAUAAAUCGAUAAUGAUGAUUUUAAAUAAUAGAUAGAGUAGUUCUCUUAUCAAUGAAAUUAGGAAUUAAGAAUUGUUGGUAAAGUAUUAUUUUUCUCUUGAUAAACAUGGAUUACCUUUUCUAAGAUUAGUUAUAUAAUAUGUGUUAGGGGUGAUCACUUUGGAUUAAGAACAGACACGACAAAACUAAAAAGAUCGAUAUGACCUUAGGACUAAAACGAAACCUAGAGAAUAUGGAGUUGCCUUUUACUUGGCCCAAGCCCAACAUGUAAGGUCGAGGUCAAACCCUAACAAAGUACCUAGCUAAUGGGACAUGUCCCAACCUCUCAAGGGAACAACUUAAGCAAAAUAUGAGGUUGCCAAUGGAAGACCCUAGUAAAUGGCUAAAUGAGGGUUGCCUCUUGCACAAUGAAUUAAAGAACAAUUCCAAUAAUAUAACUCUAAAACUAAAUUACCAAUCAAAAUGAGAUAGGUCAACUUCACUAGUAAAUAUAUUACAAUAGAUUUUACGAAUAAGCAAGUCGAUUUUAACGUAAGUAUAAGAGCUUUAUGAUAAAUAAUAUAACAACUGAUAUACAAAUCUGUCCAUCUUGUUCUUUCUCACGUUGGAUGAAGUCUUAAAUAAAAUUAAAAAAAAAAUUGAAGAGAAAUGAUUGUGGGAGAAAGAAAACCAUUUAUUGUUGAUUAUAAUGUAAACAAAAUUUAAAGAUAAGUUUGAGAAGUGAAUGAUAAGUGAAGAAGAAGAUGAAGAAGAGAAGAAAGGGUUGGACCCUCCACCCACUGAAAAGGAGUUCUGUAUAUGAUAUAUAAUGGACGAAGAGGAGGUAUGAUAUAUAAUUCAAAGCCAAAACAGAACAAUAAGGCAAAAAUGGCCAAAGGGGGGCAGUAUCAUUGCUAUCUCUACAUUAUUAUUUCUUUCAAAUUAAAAGGCUAUGAACAAAAUGAUAUAGGAUAGAACUUAGCUCUAAAUUAUUUAAUUAAUUAUGUUACCUUUGAAUAAGAACCCUCUAGAUAUAUCACUUAAAUUCUCCAUUUUGUCAACCAGACAAUUUCUUCUGUUCUGCUUAAUUUUGUAUAUCUCUUUUCUCUAUUCAUCACAAAACGACAACGUUUUUGUUCCCCCAAACUUUACGAAUAAAUUCCCAAUAAUUAAUUAUUAUGUGCAUCAUGUGUUGGAACUUGGAGUACUAUAAUUAUGAUAUAUAUUUAUAUAUAUCCCUCAUAUUUCUAAUCUCAACAUUUCUUUAAUCUUAUACAGCUUUAUAAUAAUCCAAUGUUAAUAUUCAAUAUAUAGUGUGUGUGCAUGCUAGUUUUCUUUCAUAAACCUAGACAGUAUGAAUACAAACAGUAUUGUGUCUAAUGCAAUGUUGUUAUCAAUAGGCCUAAAAUAAUUAUAAUGUUGGAUAUAACUUUUCAAUUUCUUGGACUUAUAUUAUUACACCCAAUUACUACAUCUUUAUCCAGUUUUAAAAAAUCUCAAUUAUGUUAUAUUAAAAAUCUAUUUAUAUAUUAUAGUCCAACAUUUUCAAAUCUAUCUAUUGUGCUUUAGAAUUUUCCAACUUAAAAGUUGAUCUCCAUUCAAAUCAUUAUUUAAAAUGCAAUAAUUUAACCUUUAUUUAACCAAAUCAAUUUAAUUAACUACAAGAGCUAGUGAGUGUUAUAUUGGUUACCAAAUAUUUUUAAAAUUUAAACUUAAUAAGGGUAGAUGAUUAAAUUUAAAAUUAAAAAAGUAGUUGAUAUGUUAAAAAAAAAAUAGCAGACACACAACUAAAAGUUAUUAUUUAUCCUCUCAUCUAGUACACCUUUUUGUUGAAGAACUAAGGUGGGGAAAUUUGGAGGUUUGGUGUUUGAGAAAAUCACAUAAUUAAUGAAUAGUGUUACAAAAUAUAUUAUGUUUAUAUGGUCAAAUCAAAAUAACUCAUUGAGGAUUAAGAUUCAUCACAAUAAUAAUCAUCAAUAUCUUAUUUUGGAAAUACACACAUGGUAGACAAGAUAAGCAAUCUAAAAGUACAAUUUGUGGAAUUUUUGUUCUCUGCAACAAACCCAAAAACAAAAGUUAAUUCCUCAUUAGUUAUUAUUAUUUCCCAUGCAUUAUCUCUCACACUUCUUUCCUAAGAUUACAAUAUGAUCAUCAUUGCUCAUCUCUUUCAUUUUAUUAUUCAAAAAGUUUCUUUUUAGUUUCAUUAAUAUAAACUCAUUAUUAAUUAAACAUCAUUAAUAAUAUAUAUAUAUGUAUGUAUAAUUCAUAGGGAUCAUAAAAUCCCCCACAAGAAGAAAUGGUUAUGAUUUUGUUUUGUGAGAAUCUAUUGGGAAAAUCUUUCUACUUUGCUAUGGAAAUCUAAUUAUCAUGGUAGACAAUAAAGAAAAAAAAGGAGACAGACAAACUUUCCAAACUUUUUGUGUACAAAAUUCAAGGAAAAAAAAUGGAAAUUUCCUUAAGACUUUUGCAUUUUUUUUCCCCCUAGAAAUAUCUUAAUGCUAAUAAUAUUCUCUCCAAUGAACGAUUUUUUAAAUUAACUAAUUAUAUCUAAAAUGUUUAAUGUAAAUUUAGAAAAAGAAGGGUGAUGAAGUAUAAAAAAAAUAAUUUUAUAAUUUUAAAUGUGGUAGUCGUUAUUGUUUUAGUACAAAAUUAGUAUGCUAACGACUUACCACAACAAUUCAAUCAACCGUUAUAUUGCAAGUUUUAAGUGAUUGAUUUUAUUUUUUUUAAGUUGAGAAAGAUUAUAACUUUCUUAAAGGUUGAAAAAGGGUAUUUUAUAAUUUAAGCCAAAAGAAAGAAAGAAAAAAAGAAGCAAAUAAUUGAUAUUAAGAGAAAAAAAAAAGGAUAAUGAAAAAGAGGAAAUUAGUUUACAGUUUGUUGAUGGUCUGAAAGUUGGUGGUUCGAUACACAGGCAAUUCAUUCGAUGAAUAACAAUCAAAACGAUCACAAAUCCUUAGUUCAAAAAGAUCAGAACUUGAAUCACUCUCAUCUCCUUCAUCUUGAUCGUUCAUUUUUCUCAUCUCUGAUUUUUGAUUAUUAAUCCCAUUUUUCUUCGAGUAGUAAUUAAUACCUUCUCUUUUCUGAUCCAAAAAGCUUCUAAUUUCCAUAUAAUUUUUAUUCGGAGUUUGAACAGUGCAGCAAUUAGGAGCCGGUGGAGUCCUAAAUCCCGAAAUUUUUGAAGAACUAUGAGACGAUGACUUUGUAUCAAUCAACGUACUUAAGCUGCUUCUUCUCUUUCUUGCACCCAUUUCGUGAUGAAGAUCUUCGGUUUUGAUGGAAUUUUUUGGUUUCUUUUUCUUUUUCGAAGCAGAUUGAUUGAACAGAGAAUUCAGGAAAUUGGCAAGGCGGCCGCCGGGGGAGCUGGGUUGUUGCCUGUGUUUUUUUGGGUCUUUAACCGAUUGUUUCUCCGCUGUGUACGGUGGUGUUGGAAGAGGAAUGACAUUGGUUCUUAGUGGUAAAUCGAGGCUCAUUCUUCCGCCUCUACGGCCGCCGUGAAAUAAGGAAGUUUCGUAAGUGGCAGCGGUGGUGUAACUGGGUUCGUUGCUGCCGGCGAAGUAGCGUGCGGCUUCGAAGACAUCGAGUUCGCCGGAAUCUUUGCGGCGGUGGAGAGAUUUGCGGAAUAUUUUGUCUGGGUGGCCGGAGAGGUGACUGGUGACGGACAUGGUGUAGUCGGAGAGGGAAAUUGGGCGGAGAGGUUUGAUAGGAAAGAAUUUUGUGGGAGAGGUGGGAGUGGGGAGUGGCAAAUAUAUAUGGAAAGAAAAUGAGACUUUUCUUUUUAAUAAAUAAAUAAAGGAUUAUUUUUUGAAUUUAAACUCAAAUUCAUUUUUGAAUUUAGAGAGAAUGGAAAGAAGAAAAAAAAAAAAAAACUCUAAAUUUAGAAGUGAGUUUUUUUACCCACAAAUUUAGAAUUUAUGAUAUUAAAUAAUGGAAGUGUGUCUUUUUUGAAGAGACCCACUUGAUAAUAAUAUUGAUUUGGCAUUAGAGAAAAGAGUGGGCACCAACAAAAACAAACCUUUUCUUUCUUUUCUCUCUUUUCUUAAUAACUCUAUCUAAAAGGUAAAUUAAAAUGCCAGGUUGGGAUUUGAUUAAUUACUAAUCAAGCUUUAAAUUAAAACCCAAUAUGAUGUUUCAUUUUAUAUUCUCUCUUAAGAAUGUUUUGUCAAUUUCACUAACCCAUUAUCAUGCAUGAUUAUGAAGAGAAGAAAUUAAUUCAUUAAUUAAUUAACGUAAACAACACUUUAUAAUUAAUCUUUUUCUUUCUAAUGUGUAUAUAUAUAUAUAUAUGCUUUGAAUCACUGUCCUUUGGAGAAAGAAAGAAUAAUUGUUUAACAAAGGCCCAUUAACACACCUAGAUGCCUCCUUUUUUUUGUUUUUGAAAUGGAUGGUAAGACAUCACCAUCUUGAUCUUAGGAGCAUCUUCAUAAAAAGAGAAAGAAAGAAAAGAAAGUUCAAACCCCAUAUAUAUUGAAAGUUUUUCUUAAAUGUUAGAUAAAAAUAUCGAUAAAAAAAUUAUGUUAAUAGAUAUAUGUUUAACAACUUUUUCUAGUUCAUCUCUUAUUAUUGACAAAAUAUGUGGAGAUAUCAAGUGAGACAUAUAUGUUAAUUACAUUGAUAAAAAUUUAGUGUAUAUAUAUAUGUAUAUCAUACUUUCAACGUGUAAAAAAGUAAGCAUUGAUGUACAAAGACUACUCAAAACUUUGAAAGGAAAAAAUAGAUUUUCAAGAAAGGGAGUUGACAAGAACAAAUGAAAAGGUCAUUAACCAACGACGAGUUAGGGAAAACGAAUCCAUAGAUAAAAAGAAAAAUGAUUGAGAAAAUUUGGUCCACACCAAAAACAAGAAAAAGGUUGAGUUAAAAUGGUUUGGACCAAUAGCCAAGUUGAGAUCUUCGAAUUUGAAGUGUUUGAAAGAGGAGUUUUUGAAGUUUCACCAUCAAAUGAAAGCUACUGUUCAUACAUAUCAUACAAAAAAAGUAAUAAAUUUAGAUCAAUUGGUGAUUAAAGAUAAUAUACUAAAGACGAAGAGUUCGUACUUUUAUACGUCUAAAAUAUUUUUUUUCUUUCAUUAAUAUUGAUUUUUGCAAAUUCUAAAACAAUCGACAAUUUAAAUUAUUGUAUGAAUAAAAUAUACAAUAAUUAUAAAUGGUGUGAAAGUUGGAGACGGUACAUUUUAUAUAUAUAUAUAUAUAUAAUUCAAAAUAUACAAACACAAAUAUAUAAUAAUGUUUGGAUAGCAACUAACAUUAGGUUGGAUGUGAAAGCUUUUGAUAGAAAAUGCUAAAAAGUGAUUUUCAAAUCAAAAUAAUGUUUUUGAUCCAUUUUAAAUAUAAUUGAUUUUAUAUUCACUUUUAAUUUUAAUUUAUUAUUGAAUUAAUAAAAAGUAUUUAUACCUAAAGAUUUUGAAUUAUUCUAAUUUAUUUGCUAAUUUUAAUUAUGUGGGUGUGUAUAUAAAUAUGUUGUCAUAAAGUCUUAUUCAUUUUAUUAUUUCUAAAAUUUUCAAACUUUACCUCAAAAGAAAUUCAAAACAUUUCAAUUUUAUAUAUUAAUGUAUCUAUUAGAAUUAUUGAAAUUGAAUAUAUAUAUAUAUAUAUAUGAGAGGAACAUAUUGCUAUAAAAUGUCAACCCAUGAAAAACAAUAUUUUCCUUAUAUCUAUGUGUAUAUAUAUAUAUAUAAAGCUUUCUUUAUCUCACUUUUAACAUAAUAAAGUUUAAUUAAUUUUGUUCUUAUUCCUAAUACUUAAUAGUCUACUUAGGUUUUAGAUAUAAGAGCAUAUGUACAUAUUAAACCAAUAAUAUAUGUUACUUAUAUUUACCUAAUACAAUAAUUUAAUUGAUUUAAUUAAUUUUGAUAUAUUCUAUAAAAAAAAGAAUUCCUCAACUAAUAUUUCCUUAAAUAUUGUGAUGAAAACAAAUUAAAUAAAACAAGCACAAAGUUUUAAUCUCAUGAUUGAGAUUAGGAACAUUGUCUCACAUCGAACGAUCUAGUCCGUAAUUAAUAUAUUACAACUUAUCAAUCAAAUAGAACAAACACAAACAUAUCAAAUUUGAACUAUAUGGUUUCCAUUAUCAUAAUUAUCUUGUAAAUCCAUCAUACUAACUUUUGAAUCUUAUCAAACAUAAUCUUGCUCAAAUGUCUAAGUUAGAAUGACAUUUAUGUCUCUUCAUUAUUUCUCUAUAUUAAAGUUUUCAAUUAGUUAGUUAUUUACAUUUUGUCCUUACACCAAGUUGAUUGUUGUUCUAUUAUUAUAUAUAUAUUCAUAUUAUAAACAUUGGUAAGUGUGUUGUUCAAGACAAUGUCUAAAGUUUACAAACGAGCCAAAAUCCAUAAGGUGUUAAGAAGAGGCAUAGGAGAGUGUGCUUCUCGAAAAGAAAUGUUAAUGAUGACUUAGGGUUAACCAACCUAGCUAGUAAAAUAUAUAUAUAUAUAUAUAUAUAUCAAUCUAGAAAUAAUUAAGUUAUGUUUGAACCCAUGUAACCAAAGAUAUAUGUGUGUCGGAGAACUCUCAUUUAACUAUUCCAAAAGUGCUUAAUUGAACCUAAUACACUUUGUAUACUAAUUUUAGGCUUUAAUUGAAAAACCGCGACUUCAAUCGACCAUCGUACGAACCAAACAAAUAGGAUUUGAAACAGUGAUUUUGCUAUGCACAUAGGCAGUGACAGUUCAAUUUACAAGGUCACUAUCUACCUUCUCCCAAAUAUGAUUUGUAGCAAUCGAUAUUGGGUCCAUUCAAAAUUUAUAAUUUCUUAAUAAUAAUCCAACCACUUCUUGAACACGACAUAUUGUUUGUUUCCUAAAUUCAUAAUCGAUUAUUGGGGAAGUGUUUUUCUUUUCACACAUAUAUAUAACUGGCAAUUGGCCCUCUUACUUACCAAAAUAUAUAAAUAUCAUUUGACACUUAUUAUAAAUUAAUACAUUUAAACUUUCAAGUUAGAUUUUUUUCAAAAAAAAAAAACUUCAUAAAUAAUUUAGAGUGAUUUUCUGUUUUUUUGAAAAGUUAUUGUAUAAGUUCAUCUAACAUUUGUCAUACAAAAUCUAAAAGACAAUGUAAAUUGAUACACAUACCAAAGUUAACCGUUAAGUAUCCAUUGAUGAAUUUAUUUUUAACUCUCUAACUAGGAAAGUAUGCUAACUUGGCACUAAACCCCUUUCUCCUUUUCACAUUGUCUUUUACUCUUUUAUGGAUAUUCACUAUCAAGUGUAGUACUGUCAAAUAUUUACUUUACUGCUAUCUUCUUUAAUCAAACUAUUAUAUGAAAAUUUAUUCAAUUUAUAUACAUACGUAACCGUCUUUUCAAUAUAAACAUCAACCAUGUGAAUGAGAUGGUUACCAAAUUAAAGAUUUGAGUGUGAGAUUUGGAUGGAAAAGAAGAUAUGAUGAAAGGUGUAGUUGUGAUUGAGUCCAAGUAGAUGGCAGCCACCCACAAAUAAUAAGUGGUCCUUUAGAGGGGCGGGGUGUGACAAAAUUCAACAAGUUUUUAAAGAUGGGAUGAAAGGAUAAAUAGAGGCUUUUGUCCCCCCUCACCUUCAUAUAUCCAAUCUUUUCCCAAAGCCAAAAACUCCUUAUAAUGAUAUAAAAGAUUAAAAAAAAAUCUUGGACAGAUUCAUGUCAUAUGCUGCCUUUGAUGAUAUGUUUUGUGGCUUUCUUUUUUUCUCCACCAUGCAUUCUUAAAGUCACCUUCCAUGGCCAUAAUUUUCCCAUAAGUCCCAUCUCUUUCAAACUCCUCCCCUAUGAAUUUGUUUUGUGGCAACAUUUCUACACAUCAAUAGGUAUGUCUAAAUUACUCUCUUUGUUUCACAGUAAUGUAAGAUAAUGUCUUUACCAAAGACAUUUUGAGAGUUCUUUGUGUGUUCUCCUAAACAUGCAUUUUUUUUUUUAGAUUUCCAUGUCAAAGUCAUUCCAUAUAUAUAUAUAUCACUCUAAGAUUCCACUUAUAAAAAAACAAACAAAUCCGAAUUUAAGAUCAACCUAAUUCAUUUAAGAGAAUAUUAUCAGCUCCUCCUUCCCUAAAUUAAACCACAGUAUUCCUUUCUUAUUCUAAUCAUUUUGAAAGUUGGAAGUUUUUUUCUAACUCACAUACUAAAAUAGAUAAUUAUUCUACUUAGUGAAAGGUUUUUCUUUCUUUCUUUCUUUUUUUGAAUUUGAUUGCAUUUGAGGGAAGUCUAGUAGACCCAGUUUGUUUGUGUGUUAUAAGGAGACAGUGGGUAGGACUUGAACAAAAAAUGGUCUCCCAAAUUCAAGGUCUUAGUGCCCUACAAAAGUCCUUUACAUUCACAGAUAAGGAACAUAUCAAUCAACCAAAAAACUCUUCUCCAAUCAGGGUUAUGCAUCUUGAUGAUAUAUAUGAAUGUGAUCAAAUGGAAGAGCCUUUUAGAUAUGUGGAUAUCAGAUUUCCAAGCCAAUAUCAUAUACAACAACCCCAAAAGAAAGAUAUACGUGAAGUUAAUUGUAACAUAAGGAAGGUUAUGGGCUUUCAAGACAAGGUGGAUUAUCUCUUGAUACAAUAUUUGCUUAAAGUUUAUGAUUUAACAUGAUAUCAAGCUAAGAGAUCUUAGAUUAUUUUGAAUUCGGUUUUGUAAUCUUCACCUCAACCUACUCUCAAGCCUUUUCACAUGUAAUACUAUAUUUAUUAUGAUUUGCAUAAAUUUAAAAUUUUGAAUUGGUGGGUCAUUUAAUUAACAUGUUUUUCAAGGAUUUGAAUUACCCCACAUGGAAAGAAUAAUCAAGGAUUUUAUGUGUGCAUGUGAAAGAAACAUAAACGUGUUCCAAUUUGAUUCACAUAUGGUGCUCAAAUACCCAAAGAAAAGAAAAAAGAUGGUCACUUGAUUGAAAAAAUUUAAUAAACAAAAAAGGAGACAACAACUUUCUUGAUGGGGUUAAUGUCAAAUAUAUAUAUAUAUAUAUAUAAUGUGAUGAUGAUAUAUUACAUACACACUCUAAUAUAUAAUAAUGAAGCAAAAUAGAUCGAUGCAUGUGAGUUUUGGUGAUGAGUUGUAAAUUUUAUCUCUUUGGUUUUAUUGGGUUGAUGCCCUUUCAUGUCUUGUUGGUUCAUUUUUAGGUAUAUUAAACAAACAUUCAUUGUCAUUGUUAGAUGACAAAUUUUCAUAUCAAUAACGAUAAAUUUGUAAUGUAUAAAAAGAGAAGAUCAUCUAUAAAGUAAUGAAAAUAGAAGACGUACCUACUGUAGUGCUUUUCAUGUAAAUUCUAAUACUUAAAUUAUUUUAGGAAGAUAAAAAGACAAAUAAUUAAUUUAGUUGAAAUGUAGUUUGUAGGUCCUUAUUAGUUGGAGUUAAACCCUUAGGAUUUCUUCGUCAUCUUAGUCUUAGAACUUGAAAAAGACAACGCUUAAUCUUUGACUCAAUCAAAAGUCGUUUCACCAACAACGCUAUGGAAGGAUGAAGUCCUCACCAUGAUUGAGAGUGAGCCUAUUGGAUCUACCCAACCUCUUUCACUAUCGGACUUACAUUCUACCAUUUGGAGUUUGUUGCUUGAACUAUUUUCUUUAAAAUAUUAAAAAGUAGUUCCCAACAAUCAAACCAAGAGUUAGUGUGCAUUCCGAAGUUAUUUAGACCAAGAGACCAUUACGUAUUUGGGCCUAGCAUCGACCCGGUUCGAAAGUGUGCAUUCCAAGUUAUUUGGCCCAAGAGACCAUUACGUAUUUGGGCCUAGCAUCGGCCCGGUUCGAAAAUAAAUCCAAUAAUAAUAAGACUAAAAAUGGCCCAUGCAGGUCUCGAACCUGCGACCUUCGCGUUAUUAGCACGACGCUCUAACCAACUGAGCUAAUAGGCCAUUUGUUGAUAUGAUGUUUAAUUCUUUAAAGAGAUCUUUUGCAAAUAUAUAAUAGAAUUAGAUUUUGAAAUUGUCGAGAGAUAUAUUUUAGGUUAAACUCUAAAUUAGUCUAUAAAAACUUUGAUGAUGGUGUGAAAUAAUUCCAUGAAAUUACAAUUUUGCAUUUAAUACGUUGAAUUUUCUAUUCAUAUGAAUUUAAAAAAUAUAAAAUGAGUCAAAUAUUUAAUCGAAACAUUCCAUUUAACCAAACGUAGGAGUUUAAGGACUAAACGUAUAAUUUAUUUGUAACGGAUGAAUGGGAGAGUUUGGGGCAUAACAUAUAAAAAUCCUAUGUUUAAGAAUUCUUCUUCCAUUUCCAUUGUAUGAAUAUUUCCAUGAUUGCAACCUCUCUGUAUUUCUCAGAAUAAUCAAUAAUGCAAAAGCUCAAUCAUUCAUUUUGUCUCAUAACAUAAUAUUUAAUCCAUCUCUUAUCAAAUUUUAUUAUCAACCAAAGUUUGAUGAAUAUUCCAUUCUUUUCCUUUUCUGCCUUUUCUUUUUCUUUUUCUUAUGGUUGUUGUGGAAAAUCUUGAGAUUAAAUUUCUUCUUUUAUCAUUAUUUACCUUUAUACUCUCAAUCCUAAUACACCAAAUAACCCACAAUUACUAACAAACGAAUAAGAAGGCUUAAACAUGAAUAUAAAUGAAGUUAGAAGACAGUUUUACCAUUACGCUAGCUAAUGAUAUUGAUAUCAUAUGUAUAGAUACAUCUUAUUCGAGCUCCUUGAUUUAUACUAAAUAUGUCAAUAAUGCUUACGACUCCACUCAUAUUACUUCUCUUCUUUAUAGGGAUCACAUGAAAUUGCCUUUCAUUUUUAGGGUACAUAGUCAAAAACAUAAGUUGAAAAAGAAAAAAAAAAUCCCCCUUUUGACAAAGUGAACUCUACUUUUUGUAAAGGUAAACAUCCUAAGCUUUAAAAAAAAUAUCCCACUUAUUCAACUAAUAAUAAAUACUCAUAUUUUUGUAACUAUAUAAAAAAGAGUUAAAAUGUAGAAAGAAUAUGAAAUAUGGAAAAAGCACUCUAAAUUUCGAAUAACAAAGAUUAACAUCUACAUAUCGUUACUCCAUUCCAUUUGAAAAUGAACCUUCUAUAAUAGUUUUGAAAUGAUUAAGAAAUGGAAUUUUCUUUUUUAACAAAAGAAGAAGAGUCCUACGAAGAAAAAGGUGAUGAGUAAUGGCAGUGAAUAAGCUGAAAUUUGGUUAAUUUAUAGAUUGGGUGACACCUAAAGUACUCAUAAUAAUUAUCCAACUUUUUCUUUUAUUGGCAAUUAAGCUUUUAAUCAAAUCCAACUUAAUUACUCUUUCAACCAUCACUACUCAUCACUUUGCUUUUCAAUUACGCUAAAGGAAAAAAAAAGUUAUUAACCUUCCAUAAAGAAAAAGGAUGUAGGAAUCAACUUCUCAAUUAAAAAAUAUAUACAUAUAUUUAACCCCUCGUUUCUUCCUAACGUUGAUGUGUAAAAAUAUUUGAAGAUGAAACUACAAGAAAUGAUUGGACCCUAAUAUUAUCUAUACUAACGUAACAAUACUUUAGUCCAUAAAGUCAUAACUUCAAGUAUUUGUUGAAAGAAACAAUAAAAAAAUUUUACAAAAGCAACUUAGGUACGUACUAUACUAAGUUUAGGUUGAACAGGAUUGAGUCCUAAUAUUUGAUGAGAAACGAACAAAAGCCUUGACUGGGAGAAUGUGUAAAGAAUAAUGGAGAAUCAUAAAAGAGAAGAGAGAUGUAAAAUGAUAUGAGAAGUGAAGAGAAACAGGCUGGCUAAUGGCUAUGGCGAAGAAGAUACAAUGGGCCUACAAUGUUUCAUGACUAGCACGUUUGGUAAUAAGCCCCACAACAUAAAAGAAUAAAUUUAAAUCUAGAAAUCAUUACAAAGCAAAUAAAAUUUUAAAAAAAGAAACUAAAACUAUGUGAUUCACAAUCACAAUGUCUCUUUACCGACACCAAACCAAAAAAAUAAUCUAACAUUCUUCUUCUUCUUCUUCUCUUUCUCAUACUGAUUUCUUGUUUUGAAGCAAACCCCAUCUCCAGAAAUGGGUAAAACCGGAGCAAAAUUGCCAAGUUUCUGCCUGAACCGGAUACGGCCUCAUGUUAGAGUCCCUAUUCAAUCCAAACCGGACUUUGUUUCGGUGAAAACCGGUCCGAGCAAGAAGAUUGAUGAUUGUUUAGAUGAGAAGAAUGAUCAUGUUGGAGUUGAUCAAAGUAAUAAGGCAGUGAUGGGAAUUGGAAGGAAGAUCAUGAUUGUUGUUGAUUCCACCAUUGAAGCUGAAGGAGCUCUUCAUUGGGCUCUCUCUCAUACUGUCCAAAUUCAAGACAACAUUCUUCUUCUCCAUGUCACUAAACCUUCAUCUAAAGGUCCAAAUUCACCCACAUUUUCUCUCUUUUCUUUCUUUCUUUUUUUUCUUUCUUUCACAUCUUUGUUUAAAUUUUUGUUUGAAAUGUGGUGAAUUUGUUGUCUACUCUUCAGAAACGACCUAAAUUUGUUGUCAAUUAUAAACCACCUAGUGUCGAUUCUGUUUCUUGUUUACUUUAUAGGGGAAGGACCCAAUAAGGAGACAGCACCAAGAGCAUAUGAAUUGGUUCAUUCAAUGAGAACUUUAUGCCAAUUGAAGAGACCUGAGGUAAUAUUUUGAUUCCAAGGUGGGAACCAAAGGUAGAAAUUUGGGUCAGCUUUUGAAAAUUUUUGUGUUUCUGUUAGGUGGAAACGGAAGUUGUGGUAGUGGAAGGAGGGAAGGAGAAGGGGGCAGUGAUAGUGGAAGAAGCGAGGAAGAGAGAGGCGUCGUUGUUGGUAUUGGGGCAGAAGAAAAGGUCGACGACAUGGCGGCUUUUGAUGGUGUGGGCAGGGCAGCGGUGGGGCGGUGGUGGUGGGAGCAGUGGGGGCGUGGUGGAGUAUUGUAUACAGAAUGCGAGUUGUAUGGCAAUUGCAGUGAGAAGGAAGAGCAAGAAAUUGGGAGGUUAUUUGAUCACUACAAAGCGACAAAAGGAUUUCUGGCUUUUGGCUUAAAACUAAAUUUACAAAUUGAAUUGUGGCUUUGAUUGAAUGUCAAAUCUCUCUGUUUUCAGAGAUGGGGAUGAUGUAAAUAAUGUAAUUGAAAAAUGGAGAGAAUUGUGAAUUGUGAUUUAGAUGGGGAAACUUGACUAUCAACCCUUUGGGUCUAAUUUAUAUUUGUUUGUUUUUGGUGUGGGUUUUUUUUUUCUUCAAUUUAAUUAUUAUUUUCUAAUGGUUGAAUGGACUUGAUAUUAAUUAUAUCCAAUGAUAUUAAGUUGUCAAAAUAAGAAUAGCAAACAAGGACGAAUGUUCAAUUAGUUAACCCACUAGGGGUAUGUAGAGUGCCAAUCAUACAAUAUUAGACAAUUUUUGCUAUUUUAUAUUUGAUCUUACACAAAGACAUAUAGCUAAACAAUCAUUGAACGAUCAUUUGAUAUAUAACUAAACAAUCAUUUAAUAAAAACUAAAUGUUCAUUCAAACUAUGUUACACAAACGUUUAGUCUAGGUUACACCAACAUUUAGCAGCAUGUAUUAAAACAUAAGUCUUUGUUGAGAGAAAUCUAGAGUAUAUGCUUGUUCAUGACUCAUGAUAAUAGAAAAAUGGACGUCCACUGCCAGAACCAUAUAGAAAAUGCCUUUUGGCCGAGUGAGAGAGUGUAAUCUAAGUCGGAUUUAAGAGAGGAAGGAACAAGAAAACGAACGAACAAUCAUAUUAUAAAGGAGGGAGAAUUAUGUUGCUUUACAUGACAGAAAAACUUACCAACUUGCAUGAAGCUCCCAUUUCAUUCCAUACUUUGAAACUCAAUCCCCAUAAGAACUCACCCACACAGUGUCCUCAUCAUCACACAACAUUCAUAAAGGCAGAAAAUCAACAACAACGAAAACAAACCCCCACAUAAUUACCAAAACUAAUUAAUUUAUUAUUAUAUUAUCAGGAGCUUUAGUUUAUUAUAGAGAUCUCAUUUCUUCCGCAGGUCUCUGAAAUACUUGGAAGGAUCCUUCUCAAACUCAUCUCUGUACAUUUCCUCCCCAUGUUUUCCCGGAGCCUUCAUCGUUCUCCUGUCACCGGCAGUUUCAGAGUCCGCCGAGAACAUGCUCGCCACACACCCAAUGAAAGUCGCAAACCCCACCACUGCCCCCACGAUCUUCGCCGCCUUCGACCCUCCGUUAUCCGGCUCUCCGCUCAUUUCAAUCGCUCUCUGUUUCAAUCUCUCUGUCUGAUGUGUUUUGAGGGUAAAACAGAGAGAUGGGUUUAAAUAGAUGGGUGAUCGUCCUUGCCUCUGGGGUUCUCGAGACACGUUUCAAGAUAUCAGUGGUGAUUGACUUGGGAGUCAAGAAGCAUUUUGUGAGAGAAUCAGAAAAGGAAAAAGAAAAAGGUGGAUUUACAGAAAUAGGCAAUUGCAUGGAAAAGCCUAACACAAGUUUGAUCAUCGAGAAAUGUGACGUCCUAUAUUCAUAUAAGUUUAUUAAUGACCAAGAAUUGACUAUAAUUAAAUUCAAAUCAACUUAUCCUUUAGUGAAUUUAUUUAUGUAUUUACUUAAAGUGAAUACUUUUUUGUGAAAAUAAAGAAAAUGAUGAAGUGGUAGUGAAGGAUGGCAUAGUCCCCAAGAGGGGAACUCUCUUUUUCUUCCUUAAUUGAAUUGGAAAUUGAUAUUAGAUUUUGUCAUUUCCAAAAUUUCCAUACCAAUUUUCUUUAUCUUUUUAAUUCUAAACAUUAUUCCUUAUAUUAAUUGUAAUUUAAUUUCUAAAUUUAUUAUCAAAAUACAUCUCUAAACCACAAAAAAAUGCAUAAUUUAUUUUCUUAAAUGUGUUUUAGGAGUUUUUUCAUGUACUUUUAAUCCAUCUUAAAUUAAUUUAAUCAUAUUAUUUAAAUUGAUUAAUCGUAGAAAAAAACUAUUUGCAAUUUGAGAGACCAAAUUAUUUUCUAUAUGAGUUACUCAACGUUCUUACGAUUUACUUCAAGAUUUCAAUUUAUAACUAUAAUUGAAAAAUACGAAACUCGAAGAGGGGACGCGAAAUAGUUCCUCAUCAUUGUAUCACUUAAAAAUUAACAUAAUGUUAAUGAGGAAAAUCAAAGUAAGCUAUCAAAUCAAAGGAGGAUUUAACCCAAAUAUAUAUAUAUAUAUGUCAUUUGAAAGAAUUAAGUUGUAAUGGUAAUAUACAAUUCCCAAAAAUCUCAAAAAAUUAUGCAAAAGAAAACGAACCAUUUUUUUUAUGUUCUCUAUAUAGCUUUAAUUGAAAAUUAAAACAAGUUUCCAUUUCCCAAUAAUCCUACCAUCUCUAUGUAUACAGUACAAUCCUCCAUUCUCCUGAUCAUCAAACUAAACCCUAAUCUUCACAUAUCUAUCCACAAAUCUUGUUAAUUAAUUGACAGAAGACGUAGCAAGGAAUGGAUAAUAAUCCUACCAUCUCUAUAUAUACAGUACAAUCCUCCAUUCUCCUGAUCAUCAAACUAAACCCUAAUCUUACAUAUCUAUCCACAAAUCUUGUUAAUUAAUUGACAGAAGAGGUAGCAAGGAAUGGAUAAUAAUAUCGUGACAGCAAUAAUUGGAGGAGUGAUGGGAGUUGCUUCACUCGUCGUGAUGGUGACUUCUUUAAUGUCUGGAAAUCCGAAGAUGAUGAAAGCUCCCGGACAAGAUGGGUACAUCCCCAGGGCUGCUUUUGAGAAGAACCCUGCUGCUUAUUUUGCAAACCUUCGUAGGCCUACUUAAUCAUCAUUAUUAAUUAUUCUAAUUAUAUAUGUAAUGCAUUGUUCCUAUAAUCUUCUUAUCUCUCUACUUUUAAUCCUAUCUUAUUAUUAAUAUAAAAUGUUUAAUCUUAUGAGCAUCCACAUCUUCUCAACUGAACCUUUACUAAACCCUAAUUUUUAUGGGUUAAUUUGGAUGUAACGAAGAUAAUGUUGAUGUCUAUAGAAAGGAAAAUGUAUAUAUAAACAUGAAAUUUAAUACCUAUGACAAUGAUCAAUUCCAACCUUUUCUUUUUUAGUGUUAUGUCUAUAUGACCUUUUCCUAUAAGAUAAAUGAGACUGUCCAAAAUUGUAUAAAACCUAAAUUUGUAAACUGCAUCAAGCUAAUUUUAUGGGUUAAUUUGGAAUUUUAUAGCAUUGAAAGUUAUUUAAUUUGUCUUUUUUCUCAAUUUUGUUGGGUUAUAUUUGUUUCUUGUUUUAUAUAGUUUGGGUAUUAGAGGUGAUAUUUCCAAGACUAAUAAAAUUACAAAAGAUUAUGUAACCAAUUCAAUUUACAUUUAAUCAAAAUUGGCAAGACUUCUUAUUAAGGAAUUUCCUCAUAGGUUUUCUUAAAUUGAAAAUUUAACCAAUUUAUAUUUAGAAAUAUUGUUAAAAAUACAAAAUAUUUACGAGCUAUUAUAGAUAACAACCAUUUGAUAGUCUGGAUAGGAUUUUAAAAAUGUUUUUUUAAAUUUAAUUAAGAAAAUCAUAAAAAUUAAAAUGUCAAAAACUACCUUUAAGAAAAAAAUAUAUAUAUACAAUGCCUAAAGUACAAAGAGUAGAGUAGAUUAAUAAGCAAAGUCUUUGAUGACUUAAGUGAUGAGGUAAGCUUUUUGCAUUUUUGAUUUAAUGAAAUCAUAAUGAUGUUAUCAAAUGCCAUUUAAUAAGUGAUUUCUUUAUAUAUGAAGAUUCCAAUGAGGCAUUUCUAAAUUAUUCUCACUGUUAGUACUAUAUAUAAAUCCCCAAGGUAAAUAUUGAGAAUUAAACUGAAAGAACAAAGAGAGGCAAUAGUAAUAAUAAUGAGGAUAAUGGAUGUUCUAAGCAAAUACAUUAUAAUUCCAAGUCUUGUAGUUGGGUGUGUCAUUUUGAUGAGCAAUAUCAUGAAGUUGGUGAGCAAGUUUUGGUGGACUCCCAUGAGGAUUCAAAGGAUAAUGAGGUCCCAAGGGAUUAAUGGCCCUUCUUACAAAUUCAUACAAGGCAACAUGAGAGAUAUGUACACCAAAAGAAUGCAAGCCAUGGCUACUCCUAUGGAGCUCUCUCACAAUAUACUCCCUAGAGUUAUUCCUCAUGUUCAUUCCUGGCUCAAUGAUUACGGUAUAUGUGUCAAAAUCUCUCUAGCUAUUAUGCUUUUAAUCAAGUUUUUUCAUAAUGAAAAGUGGGUUUUGUGGAAAUUAAACAGGGAGGAGCUUCUUGCAGUGGUAUGGGAUUGAAGCACAAUUAAUCAUUACAGACCCAGAAAUGAUCAAGGAAGUGUUGAACGAUAAACAAAAGAAUUACCCAAAAGCAAAACUUGGAAGGGAUUUACUUAGAAUUUUUGGAGAUGGACUUGUCACUUCUGAGGGUCAAAGAUGGGCAAAGUCUAGAAAAAUUGCCAAUUUUGCUUUCCAUGGAGACAGUCUCAAAGUAAUUAAUUAACUAAUCAGUAAUAUGUAAUUCAUAUCAUGUUAAUAAUUAAUAAUUUUUCUUUUUCUUCUGUUUUUCAAAUUAAUUAAGAACAUGAUUCCAACCAUGAUUGAGUGUGGUGAGAAGAUGAUUGAAGGGUGGAAGAAUCAUGAAGGCAAAGAAUUGGAUGUGUACAAAGAAUUGAAAGUUUACACUUUGGAUGUUAUUUCUCGUACUGCUUUUGGGAGUAGCUACCAGCAAGGAUUGAAUAUUUUUCACAUGUUACAACAGCUUACUGAUUUGUCUAUCAGAAAUGGAUACAAAAUUAAGCUUCCUAUAAUCAGGUAUUCAUAAUAACCCCCCAACUCCAAACGAGUCAUCGAAAUCAUGAUGAUAUCAAAAUGUUUGUAAGAACUGUAACGAUCACUAGUUCUUUUUUUGUGAAACGGUGUGGUUGUUUUGCAGUAAGAUAUUGAGAUCGAAAGACGACGUAGAAGGAGAGCGACUGGAGAAGAGAAUGAAAGAAUGUUUCACUGAGAUAAUAAGAGGAAGAGAAGAUAGAUCAAAGAAUGGAGGAGGGGAAGGGUAUGGGAAUGAUUUUCUAGGAAUGUUAGUGAAGGCAAAAAAUGAAGGUGAAAAAUCAGAGAGGAUAACAAUGGAUGUGAUAGUGGCAGAAUGCAAAACGUUUUACUUUGCUGGACAUGAAACAACAAAUGUUUUGAUAGCUUGGAUUAUGUUUCUUCUUGCCCUUCAUAAACAAUGGCAAGAACAAGCUAGAGAUGAAGUGUUUAGGAUUUUUGGACACAGCAGCAAUCCAACGUAUGAAGCCCUUUCUAAAUUAAAAAUAGUAAGAUUUUGACAUAUCAUUCUUUAAUUUUAACAUCAAUACUUAAUUACCAUUUGUUAAUAUAACCUUUCUUAUACAGAUGACAAUGAUCAUCAACGAAACUUUGAGGUUGUAUCCCCCGGCAAUGACCGUAUCACGCCAAGUGGUGGAGAAGGAAGUAAAGUUGGGGAGCCUCGUUCUUCCGACGUCUCUGCAGCUGAUGAUACCAACCAUCGCAGUCCAUCACGACAAAGAAUUUUGGGGGGAAGAUGUACAUGAGUUCAAACCAGAAAGAUUUGCAGAAGGGGUCUCCAAAACGAUCGAAGGAAACUCAGCUGGGUAUCUUCCAUUUGGGUUAGGUCCUCGAAAUUGUGUGGGGAUGAACUUUGCCAUCAAUGAGGCCAAAAUUGCUAUGUCAAUGAUUCUACAAAAGUACUCAUUUACCCUCUCCCCUGCCUACGCUCACACGCCCGUCCAGUUUCUCACUACUUGCCCCCAACAGGGACUUCAAGUCAUUCUUCGUUCGAUAUCAAAUUAGAAUAAAGAAAAAAACAAAAACGUAAAUUUGUUUGAUGUAAGAAUAGAUUGUUUUAACUUUAACACCGAAAAGGUAUUGUAAGUUAUUGAGCUCUGCAUUAUUGAGCUUUGAAGUAUGAAUGAAGGCAGGCGAAUACGUUGACUUCCUCUGAUUUUUCCCCUUUAUCUUCAUCCUCCCACUCCCUCCCUCCAUCCCUUCGUUCCUGCUAUUUUAACCUCUGGCGCCGUAAUCAUUUUCCUCCGCUCUCUAGUUUAAUUGGGACCAAACCUCAGGUUUGUGUUUUUCUCUUUCAAACUUUUUGUUAAUCAAAAAAGAGAAAAAGUACUUCAGAGUAUCAAACUGAAUCAAAGCAACCUAACUUUCAAUUUUCAAUCUUAAUAAUUACAAAUGGAAGUUUCUCAGAAACCGAUUGUCUUUCAAUUGCAAUAUCAGAUGCCAUCUUGAAGCAAUUAGAAGAAAAAGUGAGAUGUGAUGGAGUGUACGAUCAUCAAUUACAUUUCAAUAUUUCUAUCUGGGUGUCUUCUUUUUGGGGUCUUCAAGCUCUUUGUCAAACUAUGGUGGACUCCCAUGAGGAUUCAGAGGUUCAUGAGGUCACAGGGGAUUCAAGGUCCUUCUUUUAAGUUCAUCCAAGGCAAUACCAGAGAUGUUUACAUCAAAAGAAUGCAGGCCAUGGCUACACCCAUGGACCUUUCCCAUAACAUUCUCCACAGAGUUAUGCCUUGUGUUCACUCUUGGCUCAACCUUUACGGUACAAAAAUCAUCUUGAACUUUCAAUUGUUGUGUUGGGACAGCCUUGAAUCCGUUAUCUGAAACUUUGAAUGUAAAUGACCAACCAAAUGAGAUUUAUGUUAUUUACGACUGUGGAUUCAAGGCUUAGAGAUGUGUCAUAUAUAAACCUUUUAAUCUUACUUGCCAUUUUUGCAGUCUAUAUUAUUUGAUAGUUUAACACACUGAUAGUGAAGUAUGUAAAUCUGUGUUGAUCUUUUCUCACUUUCUUUGCUUGGUUUGUCAAUUUAAUAACAUUUUCCUUUUCGUUAACGACUGAGUCUGGUUUCUAAACUUUUAGAGCUGUGCUUUUAGGAAUAGAUUCUUGAAUUUUAAAUAGUAUUGUAAUAGGUCUCUUAACCAUUGCUUUUGAGUAUAAUAUCUUGCAAACGAAUGGUUAUUACUUAUUAAAUACGAAAUUGAGACUUAGACUUGAUUGUUGUCUAAAUCUAUUAAAAAAUGUUAAAGGGGUCUAUUAAACUCAACUUUGAAAGUUAAUGAAUUAACUUAUAAUUAAACAGCUUCUUUUUCAAUUGGAUGUCUGUUUUUAUCGGUGCGAGUGCUUGGAAUUGUCAAACAGGGAGGAACUAUCUUCAGUGGUCUGGAGUUGAUGCUCAGUUAAUGAUUACAGACCCAGAGAUGAUCAAGGAGGUGCUCCAUGAUCGACAAAAGAGCUUCCCAAAAGCAAAACUCAAAGGCCACAUUCAUAGAAUUUUUGGAAAUGGACUUGCCACAGCAGAGGGUCAAAGAUGGGCCAACUCCAGGAGAAUAGCUAACUUUGCUUUCCAUGGAGACAGUCUCAAAGUAAUUAACUUCAUACUUGAUUUUAGUUUUGUCGAGAUUUGAUUGAACUGUUUGAGAUUAUUGCGAGUGUACUGCAGAACAUGAUCCCAACCAUGAUUGAGUGUGGUGAGAAGAUGAUUGAAGGGUGGAAGAAUUAUGAAGGCAAAGAAUUGGAUGCGUUCAAAGAAUUCAAAGUAUUCACUUUGGAUGUCAUUUCUCAUACUGCUUUUGGGAGUAGUUACCAACAAGGAAAGAAAAUCUUCCACAUGCUACGAGAGCUUUGCGAGCUAUCAAUCAGAAAUGGAUACAAAAUUAGGCUACCUAUAAUCAGGUAAUUUAGCCUUGUUCAAUAGUUGAAAAUUGAACUUAUAAACAUUACUCUCAAGACUUGGAAUUCAAAUGUUUUAGUUCUAUCAAAUGGGGGGCUUACUUUUGUUUGUUGAGUUCCUAAAUUACUUGAUGAAAGUUGAUGUUAUGUUAAUAGAAAUGAAACUAUUUGUUGGAAUAUUUUGAUUUUGUUAUCUGGUACUCCAAAUGAUCAAGAACGGGGUCUCGCUAAUUAUAAAACUACUUUCACUUUGCUCGUGGACAUAGCCAGCAUACUGUUAGUAAAACAUUUUUUGUGUCGUUUUUUUUACUGUUGAUGCUUUUUGCUUGUGUCUUAACUCUAGUUUUGAUUUGUUUGCAGUAAAAUUUUGAAAUCAAAAGAUGAUUAUGAAGGAGAAAGGCUUGGAAAGAGACUUAAAGAUUGCUUCAUGGAAAUCAUAAAAGAGAGAGAAGAGAAGUUGAGGAAUGGUGAAGCAAAUGAUUAUGGGAAUGACUUUCUGGGAUUAUUAAUAAAGGCGAAGAACGACCCUGAAACAUCACAAUGCAUUUCUAUGGAAGACAUUGUUGAUGAAUGCAAAACAUUUUACUUUGCUGGACAUGAGACCACCAAUGUUUUGUUGGCUUGGACUAUGCUUCUUUUGGCUUUGCAUAAAGAAUGGCAAGAAAAAGCAAGAAAUGAAGUGUUGGAUGUAUUUGGACACAACAACCCAACUUUGGAAGGCCUUCCAAAACUAAAAACAGUAAGAAUUAUGACGUAUAGAUGAAUAUGGAAACUAGGAUCUCCUGAUCUAUUAUCAUGUAAAUACUUAUACAAACUGUGUGUUUGCUUUUACUAUGGACAGAUGGCGAUGAUCAUCAAUGAAUGUCUGAGGCUAUAUCCACCGGCAAUGCCAGUAGCACGGCGAGUAGAGAAGGAAGUGAGACUAGGAAACCUGGUGGUUCCUACAGCGACUAUGCUGACAAUUCCUACAGUAGCAGUUCAUCAUGACACAACGUUUUGGGGGGAGGACGCACAUGAAUUCAAACCAGAAAGAUUUUCAGAAGGGGUGGGGAAAGCCACCGAAAACAACUCGGCUGCGUAUAUCCCGUUCGGAUUGGGGCCUCGAAACUGUGUGGGGAUGAACUUUGCAAUGAACGAAGCCAAAAUUGCAAUGUCAAUGAUUCUACAGAGAUACUCCUUCAGGCUAUCGCCGGCCUAUGCACACAUGCCGGCGCAGUUGUUAACCAUUAGCCCCCAGAAUGGAGUUCAAGUGAUACUAAAUUCAAUAGCAGAUUAAAAAGAUUGAAAUGAACACUGUUUGGGUGUUAAUAAGAUACAUGUAUGUAUGGUUGGUACUCUAAAUUUGAACAAAUAUAUGGCAAAACUACAUUAUUAUUAUUAUUAUUAUUAUUACUACGAUUGGUUCGGUCUUUCUCCCUUGCAAUUGUUUGAGCAAAAGAAAUCAAGUAAACGGUCUUUAGUGACAAUAGUUAACAACAAGGAGAACACUAAAUAGAGACGACACACACCAUUGUUAACCCGGUUUGAUGACACAUCAUUCUUGACCUAUGAUCAUAUAUCUUAUUACUUCGAAAAUAUUCAAUCAUAAUCAACAUGUUAUGACUUUAAUUAACCAGAAAGAUAUUAAAUUACAAGCUAUUGAUACAACACGAAACUCUUAACCAGCAGAACUUCGAUCAAGAUAACACAACGUCAUUUUCUUAAGACAACUGCAAAGUAAAGUAAUUGCUUUUCGCACUUUUUUUUUCCUUUUCGACACACUCACAUUAUGAGUAUGAAAUAAACUUAUAUAGAAAAUUCCAACACCCAAUCUUUAAAAGAAAGGAAACAGAAUAAUAUCACAAAUAAAGUAAUAUCCAAAAUCGAAGAAUAUUCAUUUUGAAAAUCAUUCUUUCGUCAUUCUCUUUUUGCCACGACAGAAGAUCUAAGAAAAGAGCUUGACAUGCAGUCCUACAAAUUUUCCAAAGAAAAUUAGAAAAAGUAUUGAACAUGUGUUAAUGCAUAAGUUAGUGAGCCGCAUAGUUUGAAAUUAAACUUGCAAAUUACUCAAAAUAAAAAUGAGAAGAAAUUAUACUUGCACAACAAGCAAAGUAAUCUCACAAAUUUUUAUAGAUUAUUUAUUUUGGUAAUUAUUCUUUUCUAUAGAUUAUAAAUGCAGACCAUGGUGCAAAAAAUGUCAAACAUCCAAACAUUCAAAUAAAAGUUUAAACAUUCAAACAUUCAAAUAAACCUUAAUUGUAGUCAUUUAUUGUUGAUUUUAAAAAACAUAUAAUUUUUGUUUUCCAUUGGCAUUUUUUACUCUUAAGUUUUGAAAACAUAGUCAUUUCUUCAUGUUAUUAUUAUUUAACUAAAUUUGGUAAAAUUUAAUUUCCAACGACUAAAUUAAAAUAAGAUUUAAGUAAUGGAGACCCAAAUUUAAAAAAAAAAAAAAAAACUUAAAAGAUUAAAAAAGAAGAAAUUAAGAAAAAAAAAGUCAACAUAUUACUUUGGAAUUAAGUUAUUCAUAGGAAUGUGAAAUUGAAUUUUCAAUGUUUCUGCUUUGCCAUUGUUGACCACUGCUCGCCACGUGGCAACCACAAAAUAAUUUGCUUAAGAAAAAAUAAACAUUAAAACCCUGUUUUUAAGGAACAUAAACACAAAUGAACUGAAUCACAAAGAGAAUAAAAGAUCAAGGAAGAAACAACUAACGAAGUCCAUCAAUGGAUAUUACUAUGAACUACUACAGUUCAAUAUUGAUAUUUGGGGUUAUCCUUUUUGGAAGUGUCAUCUUCAAGCUUUUAGGAAGGCUAUGGUGGAAUCCUAUGAAGAUUCAACGGUUGAUGAGAGCGCAAGGGGUCCAAGGCCCAUCAUACAAUUUCAUACAUGGCAACACCAAAGAGAUGUACUCAAAAAGAAUCAAGGCUAUGGCUAAACCAAUGCAACUCUCUCACCGUAUACUUCCUAGGGUUCUUCCUCAUAUUCUCUCUUGGCUCAACCAAUAUGGUAUAUAUAUAUAUAUAACACAGCUCGUUUGGAUUAUGAUAUAAACUGCAAUCAGUUACUAAUUGAUUAUUUGGUGGUGUGGAAAAACAGGAAGGAACUAUGUUCAAUGGUUUGGGGCAGAGGCUCAUUUAGUCAUAACAGAGCCAGAGCUGAUCAAGGAAGUGCUCAACAACCAACACAAAAGCUUCCCAAAGGCAAAACUUCAAGGCCACAUUCAUAAAAUUUUUGGAAAUGGACUUGCCACAGCAGAGGGUCAAAAAUGGGUCAACUCUAGAAAACUUGCUCAUUUUGCUUUUCAUGGAGAUAACCUCAAAGUAAAUUUACCCCUGAGUAUAAUUUUGAUAUUUACUCAUCAAUUUUAAAAUAAUUGAAAGAAGAAGAAAAAGCCCUCAUUGUUUUACAAUUUUGCAGAACAUGAUCCCAUCAAUGGUUCAAUGUGCUGAGACAAUGGUUGAAGAAUGGGCACAUCAUGAAGACAAAGAGAUUGAUGUGUUCAAACAUUUUAAGGUUUAUACUUUGGAUGUCAUUUCACAUACUGCUUUUGGAAGUAGUUAUGAACAAGGAAGAAAUGUAUUCCAAAUGCUGCAGAGGCUUUGUGAGUUAUCCAUUACAAAUAGAUAUAAAGUUAGACUUCCUGUGAUCAGGUACUUUUAAGAUUGUCUCUUCGCCUUUUGAUAAUAAUUUUGCUUUUUUUGUUGUUGCAGUAUUUAAUAUUAUGUAGCAUUAAUUCUUUCCCUAAAUGUUUGUGUGUUUUGAGGACGCAGUAAGAUAUUGAAAUCAAAAGAUGAUAUUGAAGGGCAGAGUCUUGAAAAGAAGAUGAAAGAUUGCUUCGUGGAAAUCAUAAAAGCAAGAGAAGAGAAGUUGAAUAAUGAUGAAGCAAAUGAUUAUGGGAAUGACUUUUUAGGAUUGUUAGUGAAGGCCAAAAAUGAUCCUCAAGAUUCACAAAGGAUCAGUUUGGAAGAUGUUGUUGAUGAAUGCAAGACCUUUUACUUUGCUGGGCAUGAGACCACCAAUGUUUUGUUGGCUUGGACUAUGUUUCUUUUGGCUUUGCAUAAAGAAUGGCAAGAAAAAGCUAGAAACGAAGUGUUCGACGUAUUUGGACACAGCAACCCGACUUUUGAAGCCCUUCCAAAACUAAAAACGGUAAUUAUAAAUUAUAAUAACAAAACAUAAGGUAGUGUUUAUAUAAUCUUAAUUGUUCAAAAACUAAAUUGGUUAUCAAACCGAAACAUUGUUACUGUUUGUGCAGAUGGGUAUGAUCAUCCAUGAAAGUCUAAGGCUAUACCCUCCGGCGAUGACAUUAUUAAGAAAAGUUGAGAAGGAGACAAGAUUGGGGAGGCUAGUUCUUCCGAGAGGAGUGCAGGUAGUGAUACCGACGGCAGCAAUUCAUCACGACGAAGAGUUAUGGGGGAGAAGCGUAGAUGAUUUCAAGCCAGAAAGAUUUUCGGAAGGGAUAGCAAAGGCAACCGAAAGAAACCCAGGUGGCGGUACGUAUCUCCCCUUUGGAUUAGGGCCUCGAAGCUGCGUUGGGAUGAACUUUGCAUUGAACGAAGCCAAAAUAGCAAUCUCCAUGAUUCUUCAACGAUUCUCCUUCACUCUCUCCCCUGCCUAUGCUCAUUCCCCUGCUAUGUUGCUUACAAUUGCUCCUCAGCAUGGACUUCAACUCAUUCUUCAUCCACUUUCCACACAUCAAUAAAGCACUUCCAUGAUGUGAUUCUCAAUCCACUUGAAGAGGGACGUUUGGAACGUUGAGUUGCUAUUAAGUCUUAUUGGAACGUGUUUAGUCUUUAAAUUCAAUCAUUUAUAUUUGUUUCAACGCAGAGUUUUGAAAUUUAUAAGGUAAUAUAAAUUAGACUUGUUAUUCAAAUUUGAUUUCAAAGAACAUGAAUUUAACUUAGAUAAACCAAGUGUUAAUGGUCUUUAGAUAUAGUCGAUCUCAAGCCUUAGUGUAUAGUUUAUCUUCAUCAUUCGCUACCCAUUCAAUUUAUACCCCAACAAGCAUAACAAAUCGCUUUUGAAGAUUGUGUUUGUUUACUUAGAGCAAUUUAUCUCUUCAUUAUGUUUAAAUUCAAGAGGAUUAAUGCAAGAAUGAGAAACCUAUUACCAAAUUGGACUUAAAAUGAGGCCAUUGGAAAUGAAAAUUUGGGCCGAGAAGAAAAGCCUUAAUGGUUUUAAGAAAGAAGAGUGUGUGUUUGGAUGACCUUGAGAUUGAGCUAACAAAGAACAAAGAGCUCAACACCACAUUUUGAUUCAAUUUUAACUAUACUCAAACGGUGAUUAUUCUUUUAACUGUGAAGAACACAUUUUACGAAUCUGUCAUUGAUUCCACUCAAAUCUGCUCUUGGAAUAUCUACAAUCAUGUUGUAAUAUAUUAUUCUUCGACGUUUUAAUAAUAAGUAAAGAAAACAUUAUACCCUUUUUACUAUGCUAUAAUUAUUAAAAAUAAUAAUGUGAUGUGUUUGUUUGUUGUGUUUGAGCGAACCGGGUUCAUCAUUAUAUUAAAUCUGCCGUCCCUAUUGAUUUCAACCGGCCAUUUUGAAGAUGGAUAGAGUUUGUAUUUGUUUGUGUGUUGUCGUUUUGUACAAUUAAAGGUUGCGUUUUGAGUAUAAACUCCAAACAUAUAACAUAAAUAUUUCUUCCUUACAACACAUAAAAGGACUUUUUUGGUUCUUUAUAACGUCUUCUUUCUCUUCAUGGCCCUACAUUAUUCCUUUACUCUCUCUUUAUUCAUUUUUUUCACUUCACUCUUAUCAAAUCAAUUAAGUGUAAUAGCAAUGUGUUAACUUUAAAUUAAAAUAUUUAUCAACUAUUCAUCAUUGUCUAUCAAUGUCAUCGAUAGAAGCAUAUCAACGACAUUAUUGUUUCUUAUAUGUUGUAAAUAUUUUGUCAUAUUUGCUAUUUUUGACAAUUUUCCUUAGAUUAUUGUUUGUUUCUUUCAAGUGGUUAAUCAUAUAUGGUGUUUAGUGUUUUUUUUAUUGUUUUAAGUAGUUUGAGACUUCCAUUAGAAGUAACGUACGAGAACUCAUCUUCAUGGAAUUUCUCGAUUAGUUGUGGGUGUUUAGUCUUUUUUUUUUUUCUAUUUUUGUACAUUUUCUUAACUUCUUUGUUCGUCAAUCGAAGGUGUGAAGUCAAAUUCUCUAUACUAUAAUUCGAUAUUUUUACAAAAUAAAGAAAAAUGAAUUUAAAUAUAUAUGUAGUAGACAUUAACAUUAACAUUAAUGAUAAUCAAAAGUGAGUAGCAAAGAAGAAAGAAGAAAAAUAAAGGUUAAAAGUAGAAUCUCGAAAGCUAAGUAGUGAAUAAGAACAAAAGUAGAUGAAUUUGAUUAUUAAUAGUUGAGAGGUGGGAGUGUGACGUAAGAAUUAAAUUAUAAUAAAGAAGGUCACACGUGGUAGCUUUGGUAUUAUUGUAAAAAAUAAUAAGAAGAUACGAAGAAGAAGAAGAAGAAAUUGUGUUUGUGGAGAGAACAUUUAUGAGAAUUAAUAGUUUGGUUUAAAAUUAAAUGAUUUGGUGGUGUGAUACGAAUUCAAUUAACUACUUUUCCAUAACUAUAACUAUAAAUAAAUGCUUUGUGUACACAUUCGUCCCCACUCUUUAUCCUUCAUAUGCCCUUUUCCCUCUCCCACACCUUUCUUCUAUUCACUAUUAAUUAUCAAACCAAUUAAAUUCCCACAUUUCAUAUAUUUUAUGUCAAUUUACAUAUUUUUACUUUGACCUAACGUCACUUUAACGAUUUAAGUAUAAAUUACGGGAAAUUUUAGAUUCUAGUAUACGACACAUUUAAGAUUUUCAAAUUCAGUGAUAUAAAUUAAAAUGAAAUGGAAAUUAUUACCAAUUUUUUAUGGUGAUUACGGCUACCUUAUGAUAGUAAUCUAUGACUUUCUAAUAUUAAUUAUUUUAUGAGAAUCACUUUAUGAUAUUAACUUUGAAAUAAGACGUUUAAUUUUGUUCGUGGAUAUUAGUUAUUUAUAUUAGAAUAUGUGGAAUGUGACGAUGAUAAUAAACAAUAGUUGUUAUAAAUAUAACUAAAAAACAAUUAUACAUACAUGUGAUAUAGUUUAAUAAUGUGUUAAUUAAUUAGGUUGUGCUCAAAUGGGAUAAUACACCAUACCAACUACAUAAAUAGAGUUGUUUGUUACAAUUAUGAACACCAACUACUUUUUUAAUAAAAUCUAACCUACAAAAUUUAUGGAUUAUUUAUACAUAUUUUUUUUUGUACAAUUUUGACUACAUAUAUAUUUGGAUAGAAAUCGAUAACUUUUUUCACUAUCUAUCAAUAUGUGUCACUGAUAGAAGCAUAUGAAUGUCUAUCAAUGUUUACUACUGAUAGAAUUUGAAAUUUUGCUUUUUGUUGUAAAUGAUUUUGUCAAAUUUACUAUUUUAUAUUAUUCUCUUAUAUAUUUUGAUAUCGGUUGAAUUUAUGUUUGACAUAGAGUAAUUCUUUAUUUGCUUUUCUGAGACAAUGACGAAAAUAUUUUGGAUUAUAUUAAAAUAGUUUCACAUUUUCAUCUUCCAAAAAAAAUUAGGUUAAUUUUUAUAAAUAUAACAAACAGCCAAAUAUUU
rnacentral:lncRNA from 1 species